GCAACUGAUCUUGAAGUUCCAAAAUCUGAUACUUUUGCCCUAUAUUUACCAUCCAAAAGUAUGUUACUAGAUUUGAUGUCUCGAUGAUAAAUAGGUGCAGAAGCAGCUGAAUGCAAAUAGAACAAGGCAUUGGCAAUUUCAAUCGCAAUUCGUAAACGCAUUUCCCAUGUCAAUGGUAAUUCUUCAUUUUGGUUAUGAAUGAGAUCGUAUAAUGUACCAUUUGGGAUGAACUCAUACACCAAUAGAGGAACUUCAGCUUCUAAACAACACCCUAAAAGCUUAACCACAUUCCUGUGAUUAAUUUGAGAUAAAAUGAUCACCUCGUUAAUGAACUGUUCAACCUUCUUUUCAUCAAAUUUCUUUCCUUCCACCAUUUUGGAUUUCUUAAUAGCCACAAUGCUUCCAUAUAUUAGCAUUCCUUUAUAAACAGUCCCUUGACCCCCUUGACCAAGAAUUCGGUUCUCAUUAUAAUAAUCCGUCGCCUUUUCCAUCUCUUUUGAAGUAAACAACUUAAUUUUUUCAACAUUACCUUCAUUGCUAGACAAAUGUUGUUGCAGUAACAAACCUCCAUUCCUUUUGAAGUAUUUCUGCUUCAGCAAGAUUUUUUGUUUUCUUUUGAGGGCUUUGUACAUACUCCAUGUUGCGAGUAGUAGAAAUAGUGUCCCAACACUAGUGCUGCAACCUAUAUAGAUAUAAGAAACAUUGUUAAUGGCUAAAAUUGAAAAUUAAAAUACAUGCUUAAAAACCAUGAAAAUGUUUAAUAAUUUUUUACUCAUAGUUGAUAGUGAUUCAUUUUAAAUAAAAAAAUGAGAAAACCUUAUUACAUCAUUCAUUGUUUUGAUAUUUAACUUUUACAAAUUUAAUGAUAAAUAAUUGUUACUACAUCCGCAUUCAAAAGUAAAUAAAUUACUACUUGAAUUAACAUAAUUCAAUAACCAUAAUGAUUCCACUGUAAAAAUAAAAAGUGUAAAUUCACCACGUACCUACAAUAAUACUUUUCAAAUUACGAGUGUUUUGAGUUUCUAUUUUACGCUCGCAACGAAAUCCCGUACUAUUGUAUUCAUAAUGAGGAGGGCAAGAGUCUGACCAACAAUAGUUGGUAGGGGUAUUCAAGCAAAGCAUGUUGCAAUACUUAUAAUUCUCACAUUUCCCAUCUGUCAUUUAUGAAAUGGAAAAAAAAAGAAAAAGAAAAAGAAAAGAAGAAGCUAUAAUCAUAUAAUUCAUUUAUAGUAUUGAAUCAACUUAGUUCCUCUAUUAUUAAAUAGAUCAAUUUAGUCCUUAUACUAUUAAAAAAAUUAAAUAAAUUUAAAUUAUAACAAUGUUAACAUUUACUAUAUAAAAAGCAUCUACAAAACUAUAAAAAAAAUUGACUUUCUUUGAUUCUUUUGAUUCCUUUUUAUGACACAGGGACUAAAUUAAUUCAUUUAAUAGCUUUCUAAUUUCUUUCUCCUUUUGUUGGUUCAAAUUAUGCUUAGGGAGUAUUCUAGCAAUACGUAUGCAAAACCAUUAUUUCAGAAAAAAAAUAAAACAUGAAAAAAAAUUUCAUUAUGGUGCGUUUGUUCAAAUUUCAUUAUACUCAUUUUUUUAGAUUUUACAUAAAAUAUAAAAUGACAAAAAUACUCUCAUAAUAAUAUUUGUUCUUUUAUAAAAGUAAUGGAUUUUCAUAAUUUCUUGAUCGAGUCGAGACUUAAUUGAUGAGUGACACCAACUCAAUUAGUCCUUUGAAAAAUAAUUCAAAUUGAAGGCACAUCCAUGAUGUGAGUGAAAAAAAUUAUGUAAUUAACAUAUUUAUUAAAAGCUUAUAUAAGACAAUGAAUUCUUGGUUGAAAUGAUAAAAUUAAAUUUUAAAAUUUAAUGUGUGAAAGGUUCAAAUCUCACCAUGUUAGGUUUAUUAUGGAUUUUAUAUAAAAAUGUAAAAAGAUGAAAAUACCCUUAAAAUAAUAUAACUUAAUUUGUAUAUAAAAAGAUAUUUUAAUAAAUUUUCGAUUGAGGUAUUAAGUAAGAUAAUAUAGAUAUAAGAAAAGAAGUUCCCUAAAAAAAUGUUAACUUGUACCUUUGCAUGCUCUUGAAUAACUGAUAUCACUGUCUUCCCUCAUGCACGAACAUAGAUGGUUAGAGCUCAACCUCGACCAACAAUAUUCACCAUCGAAUGUACAAGAAGUGUCCAAACUAUCGUUCAAAUAGCACUCUCCAGAUAUUAGAGUGCCCCAUUGCAGUUGAAUUGGGACAUGCAUCCUCUUACUUAGAUCCAAAUCAUCAGUGAAAUCAGAGUUAUAAGAAAUCAAGGAAGCAAAUCCGCAUGACCUUUUCCUCCUAUAAUCACUUGAAUCAACCAUAUCACUCAUGUUUGCAAAGAAUGAACUGAGACCUUUAGGAAUAGUAAGAGGACAACCAACAAUAGAGGAAGUCUUCUUAUUAAUCCUACAACUUGGUUGCAAACAUCCGCCUAUAAGAUUAUCUGUUUCGUUACCGAAAAUAGUAACCAAAUUACCACAACCUGAAGACCAGAAGAGGUUGUCUAAAUCUGAGUAGUAAAAGCGGGUGCCUGUUAGGUUGAGACUCAUCCCAUUGUGAUGGUUUUUUUGACAAUUGAAGUAAGUUACUGGAUGGUUAACCUCGACAGUGCCACGCAAAAAACUGAAGUCUAGUAUUUGUAGAUUCGUGCCAUUUAUAUUCAAUGAAGGCACUUCUUUCCCAUUGGCAGUUUUGCUGCAAAUUACUUGAAACCAGUUAUUGGAAUCAUCUUGGGCCUUCAUGCUAAAAGGGUAGUGAAAAGUAACAUUCCCACAGGACUCUACCUUAGAGGUGUUGAAGUUGAUAGGUCCUAGUCCUGGUCUUCCGCAUCCUGCGAGCUUAGCAAAAGGAAGUAAAUUAUAAAAUCUACUAAAUGUAUAUACAUCCAAUGUUUGUAGGAAAUAAAAGGAAUGUAUCAUUCAAAAAACAAAAAUACACUAACAAAAGUAUUAUAUUGUAGAUACAGAAGCUUAGGUUCUAUAUCAAGUAACCCCAUUCUUUACCUCUAAUCAUCAAAAUAAAUAAAUAUUUAUUAAUAAAAGUCGUAUGAAAAGUGUUACUCUAAGUAAAUUUUUUAAUUAAAUUUGUGUGUUAUUUGUGACACUAAACUCAAUAAAGGAUUUCUUAUUAAUAUAGAUACCAGUAUAAAUCUUACGGUUGAAUUUGAUGUGAUUCAAUAUUUUUAAUUAAAAAUAUUAAUAUUAAUAUACAAAAUGAAUGAUUCUCAAUACUGAUUUUAAACAAUUAGCAAAAUCUAUACAUUAACUGAAUUAAAAGAAGAAAAAUGAAAGCCAAGCAAUUGAAGUGACAGCGCGUGACUGACCUCCGUCACCGCAAUAGGUGGAAUUCCAGCUGAGCAUGGCGGGAACAUGCUUUGUUCCAAUAUUGAUGCCAGUGGGUAAUGGGUAAGCACUACGGAAAGAGUAGUCGGUAAAGAAGAAAGCAGAUGCGCAUUUGUUGCUGUCCGGAUACAUGGCUGUCAUGUUUACAGUAUAGGAAGUGAAAUUUCCCGUAAUUAGAGUAAAGCAGCCAGAUUCAGAAGCACCAUCGUCACACCUUGGUUGAACGCAGCCGCCAAGUGAAUCAGCUUCGUUACUUAAAACAGUAGCCAAAUUUCCGCAACCUACUGACCCGAAAUAAUUUCUGUCACUUGAGAAGAAAAAGGGAGUGCCUGAGAGAUUCACACUCACACUAGCCUCGCUUAUACGAUCACAAUUAAAAUAAGUAACUGGAUUACUGAUGAUAAUGGUGUUAGAAAUCAAACCCACUCCAAGCAUAAUCUAGAAGCAUGAGACGUGGAGCAAUUUUGUGCCAUGCAAAGUGCUGAAAUUUUAGCCAUACAAAGUGCUCCAUUAUUGAGAUGUUUUGUGGCUGGAAAUUAAGUGGAUUAAUAGCCACAUUUGUUGUCACUUUAUCAGCCUAUAAAUAGAGGCUUGAACUUGUGUUGUAAAGGAAGAAAAAUGAGAAGAAAAAAGAAAUAAGAGAAGCAACGUGAGUGAGAGUGAGAAGGUUAGCAAACCUUGAGUGAGUUAAAAUCUAGCAGCAGCUAGACUAUCUAGUCAUUGAGAAAAUAUUUGUAAUCUUCGUAUUGUAAUAUAUUGAGUGUGUAAUAAAAAAGUAAAUUUUCGGCCCAUCACGUUUCCAACAAGUGGCAUCAGAGCUACGGUUCGGAGCUUGGUUCGGAGUUCGGUUCGUGUCCGGUUCGUGUCCAGUUCGGAGUACCUUUGGUGUUCAUCUAACAAGUCGAUAUGGGCGACGUAAUUCAGCUACAAGUUCCACAAUUGACGAAGACAAAUUAUGGAAAUUGGAGCAUUCGAAUGAAGGCUUUGCUCGGUUCGCAAGAUUGUUGGGAGAUCGUUGAAAAAGGAUACAUCGAGCCCGGAGAUGCCGCUACAGAAGCAGCUUUAUCAAAUGACGCUAAGAAGGCGUUACGAGAAGCACGAAAGAAGGAUCAAAAGGCCUUGAAUAGUAUCUUUCAAGGAAUGGAUGAAUCAACCUUCGAGAAAAUAUCAGAUGUGAAGAACGCGAAGAAUGCAUGGGAGAUUUUGCAAAAAUCAUUUCAAGGUGUAGAAAAAGCUAAAAAGGUACGCCUUCAGUCACUUAGAGCUGAAUUUGAAAUGUUAAAAAUGAAGAGCUCCGAGAAUAUCGAUGACUAUGCCAAUCGUGUAAAAUCGGUGGUAAAUGAAAUGAAACGAAAUGGAGAAAAGCUUGACGAUAGAGGAGAGAAGUGUAUCUUUAUAGGCUAUGACAAAAGAAGUAAGGCCUACAGACUUUAUAAUCCUCUUACUAAGAAAUUGAUUAUCUCAAGAGAUGUCGAGUUCGAUGAAGCGGAUUACUGGAGAUGGAGUGAAGAAGAAAAGAAAGUGGAAGGAUUAUUUUUCAACGAAGACGACAAUAACCAAGAAGAACAAGGCGAUGAUCAAAGUCCUGGUACAACAGCCCCUUCGUCACCAACCAGCAGCAGCGGAAGCAGCAGCUCAGAUGAAGCACCCACAAGAACACGGAGUCUCAACGACAUCUACAAUUCUACGGAACCUGUAGAGACGCAGUUCGAUUAUUCACUAUUCUGUCUAAUGACAGAAUGUGAUCCAGUGACAUACGAAGAAGCAAUUGAAAACAAUAAAUGGAAGAAGGCCAUGGACGAGGAGAUUGCUGCAAUAAGAAGGAAUGACAUGUGGGAGCUAACAAGUCUGCCAGAAGGACAUAGCCCGAUUGGUGUCAAGUGGGUGUACAAGACGAAGACCAACAAAGAAGGAAAAGUAGAGAAAUACAAGGCAAGACUAGUCGCCAAAGGCUACAAGCAAAGACAAGGAGUGGACUAUGAUGAAAUAUUUGCUCCAGUCGCAAGAAUAGACACAAUUAGGCUUCUCAUAGCGGUCGCAGCACAAUACAAAUGGAAAAUCUAUCAGAUGGACGUCAAGUCUGCAUUCCUGAAUGGCUACUUGGAAGAGGAAGUCUACAUAGAACAACCACCUGGAUAUAGCAUACAAGGAAAGGAGGACAAAGUCUACCGAUUGAAGAAAGCUUUGUAUGGAUUGAAGCAAGCCCCAAGAGCAUGGAACACAAGGAUCGACGAGUACUUCCGAAGAAAUGGAUUCAUCAAAAGCCCGCACGAGCACACCCUGUACACAAAGAAGAAUGGAUAUGGAGAUAUCAUGAUCGUAUGCCUAUAUGUGGAUGACAUGAUCUUCACUGGAAACAAUCCAGGUAUGUCUGAUGAUUUCAAGAAAGCUAUGACUAAAGAAUUUGAAAUGACAGAUAUCGGUGAGAUGUCAUACUUUCUUGGAGUCGAGGUGAAACAAAUGCAAGAUGGAAUUUUUGUCUCUCAAAAGAAGUAUGCGGAGCAGAUUUUGAACAAGUUCAAAAUGAAGGAUUGCAAGCCAGUAGUCACGCCAGCUGAUCCAGGGAUGAAGCUAAGUGUUGAUUCGACAAGGGAGUCGAUAAAUCCGACGUUGUUUAAAAGUCUCGUUGGAAGUUUAAGGUAUUUGACAAUCACACGACCAGAUAUUACAUAUGCAGUAGGAUUGGUGAGCAGAUUCAUGGAGAAGCCGAAGCAAGACCACUUAAUUGCCGCAAAAAGAAUUUUGAGAUAUAUCAAAGGUACGAUGAACCAUGGUUUAUUCUAUACCCACUCACAAGAUUCAAAAUUAGUUGGCUACUCAGAUAGCGAUUAUGGGGGAGACUUGGAUGAUCGGAAAAGCACUUUCGGAUAUGCAUUCCACAUCAGUUCCGCAGUUUUUUCAUGGUCGUCAAAGAAGCAACAAACAAUUGCUCUCUCAACAUGUGAAGCAGAGUAUAUGGCCGCAGCAACUUGUACAUGCCAAGCAAUGUGGUUGAAGAAUAUUUUGGGAGAAAUAGGUGUUUCAAAUGAAGGUCCAAUUACCAUCUACGUUGACAACAAAUCCGCUAUAUCACUUGCCAAGAAUCCGGUGUCGCACAGCCGAAGCAAGCACAUCGAUACGAAGUAUCAUUUUAUCCGAGAGCAAGUGAAAAACAAAAACAUGGAGUUGGUCCAUUGCAGGACAGAAGAUCAACUGGCAGAUAUUUUCACAAAGCCGUUGAAAGUGGAGACAUUCAACAAAUUCAAAGAGAAGCUCGGUAUGAAAGUUGGGUUUGAGGGGGAGUGUUAGAAAUCAAACCCACUCCAAGCAUAAUCUAGAAGCAUGAGACGUGGAGCAAUUUUGUGCCAUGCAAAGUGCUGAAAUUUUAGCCAUACAAAGUGCUCCAUUAUUGAGAUGUUUUGUGGCUGGAAAUUAAGUGGAUUAAUAGCCACAUUUGUUGUCACUUUAUCAGCCUAUAAAUAGAGGCUUGAACUUGUGUUGUAAAGGAAGAAAAAUGAGAAGAAAAAAGAAAUAAGAGAAGCAACGUGAGUGAGAGUGAGAAGGUUAGCAAACCUUGAGUGAGUUAAAAUCUAGCAGCAGCUAGACUAUCUAGUCAUUGAGAAAAUAUUUGUAAUCUUCGUAUUGUAAUAUAUUGAGUGUGUAAUAAAAAAGUAAAUUUUCGGCCCAUCACGUUUCCAACAAAUGGCGUCUGAAAAUAUGGAAUCAAGUACCUCCAGAUUGAUGCCAUAUACGUUUAUGAAUGGCUUUUCCCCAUUACGGGUCGAUUUGCAAGUUACUCUAAACCAAGAAUGAGUAUAGCAGCUGCUAUGGAUUCCAAAAGGGGAUGGAAUUGUAAUAUUCCCACAUACUUCUUUACCACAGGCAGGUUCUCGAGAUUCUGCUGCUUGUGAAAUUGGGCAUAACAGGAAGAGGAAGAGGAGUAGGAGGAUGAAGUAAAGCGCUAACUGAAAACCCAUUUGCGUUGUUAUUUUGUUUGAGGGAAAUGAAUGAAGAUUUAGAUUGGGUUAAUGAAGAACUCAUUAAUAGAUUUUGUGGAAAUUAAAUUAAAACAAAGGAGGUAUCAUUAUCAACAACUAUGGACCAUAAGCAGAUUCAUUCCUUUUAUUAUAUAUUAUUCAUACUAACAACAUAGAAAUUUCCAUGAAAAAGUAAGGUCCAUGACAUCCACGGAAGCAACGACAACAAUCUGCCCCUAUAACAAUUGCAAAAAUACCUUGACUCCUCUAGAAAUCCGUCAGUUUGGAAACUGUAACGUUUAUGCUAUAACCAAAUAAACAUUUUAGAAAUAUCUGCUCUCCAAAGUCAUGUUUGUUUAUCUUCAAUUUCGUCCUUAUAUAAACAAAACUCCAACAUAUAGAAAAAGAAAUGAUAGCCCUUGAAAUCCUUAAUAUCCAAACCAUAUUUAUGCAUAAGGAAUUUGCAUAGGAGACGAGAAAAUGGAAUCUGAACUUAAUGGGAAAUUUCGUCACAGUCAAGCUAAAGUUUAACAAUUUAGGAUCUUUUAUCUAUAUGGUGUUCCACUUUUAUGUAUAUUUCCAAGUUUUUCAAUAUGAAGUCGGUUCAACGAAAAGGAAAUUACUUUAAAUUUUUAUAAUUAAUUGGAUUCAAAAAUAUUUUUUAAUAAUUUGGUAUGCGUAUACUUUCACAUAACUUCUUAUGAAUCUCACAUAACACAUUAUAUGUCAAUUUCACAUGAAUUUCGUAAACCAUGUUAAAAUGGAAUAUGUCCACCACCUGCUUAAAUUGAAUUAUUAUAUAACUUAUCCAUUGCUUAGCAAAGGUUGUAUUGCCUACACUUUGGUUCAUCAUGUCCCCACCCGACCCAUUUUAGAUGUUCAUUUUACUAUUUACUUUGAAAAAGAUUAAUAAUCAUCCUAUAUAUUUAUUAAUGUUUUGAAAGAAAAUUCUGUCUAUCCAAUUUAUUGAUGAUGCAUAAAAAUAAUUCCUUAAAAUUUUACUAAUGUAUUUUAAAAAUAAUUCUUUUUGUACAUAUUAUAAAUGUGAAAGGGUACGAAACUCAUGUUUGAAGUCAUGCUAACUCAAUCACUUACUAAAACCAAAUUAAAGCAAUUAAUUUUACAAUAGUGGCCAUAUGGCACUUUUUAAUUUCACUUCUAAUAUUUAAAAGUGAAGUCUUUUCUUUCUACAAGGUGAAGCUAGAAGGUAGGAGAUAGCAUAGAGUGUUAGCCUCUUGCCCAAAAUAAAAGACAUUAUCCCUAAUGAGUGAUAGCAAAGGUGAUUGUGUUGGAUCUUUCAGCAUAAACAAAAGAAAAAUCGAAUGAAGCAAAAAGAAGAAACUGAAAAUGAAAACUCAGCAAGAAAUGUAACUGAAAGUCAUCAUUUUUUUCAUUCAAAUUUGAAUAUAUGAAGGUUACAAAAAAAAUGUUUGACAGUUACCUACUAACUUAACUGCCCUUACUUAAUACAUACUAAAAUGAUGCAAGUUGAUUACAAAAGAAAGCUGGCAUACCAGCUUUUACAUCAGUCAAUCUUUCCUACUAACUUAGCUAACUCAUUACAAAGAUUUGGACUAAGUUCCAUAGGAACAAAACAUUCAAAAAGUAAUUCUAUAACUGAACCAAUUUCAUUUCUUUGCUACAAAACAGUAUAGCAGCUAAACUUAUACAAUUUGCUGCUGCUGGUCUGUUGAUCAAUUUGUUGCUGUUGGUCCUCUGUUGCACUGCAGGCCAUGGGUUUAACACUCCUCCUUGGACUGUAUGCAACAAACACCAAUCUUUUCUUUCAAGACAUUAAAUUGGUUGGCUCCCAAUGGCUUGGUUAAAAUGUCAGCCAAUUGAAUUUCUAAACUGCAAUGGACUAAGCUAACCUCCUUCGAUUGCUCAACUUCUCUAACAAAAUGGAAUUUAAUUUUGAAGUGUUUAGUCUUACCAUGGAAGAUUGGAUUUUUGGCUAUGGCCAUAGCUGAUUGAUUAUCCACCCUGAUUUCAGUAGGCUGAGCUUGACUUUCAUUCAAAUCAUCCAAAAUCUUCCUAAGCCAAAUGGCUUGAUUCACUGCUACUGCAGCUGAGAUAUACUCAGCCUCUGCUGCGGAUUGAGCAACAGUUUGUUGCUUCUUUGAGCUCCAGCUAAAAACACUUGAGCCUAAAGUAAAGAAGUAACCUGAAGUGCUCCUCAUGUCAUCAAUUGACCCUGCCCAAUCACUAUCAGAGUAGCCAACAAGUUUCAGCUCCUUUGUCCUCCAAAACUUCACACCAGCAUCAAUGGUUCCUUUGACAUACCUUAACACCCUUUUUGCUGCCUUUAAAUGAGCCAUGUUACUGCAAUGCAUAAAUAUUGAAAGAAAACUAACAGCAUAGACAAUGUCUGUUCUAGUUGCUGUCAAAUAAAAUAAGCAGCCAAUUAAGCUUCUAUAUGCUUUCUCAUCUACUCGAUCAUGCUCACUGGUACUUGACAACUUCUCCCCUAAUGCAACAGGUGUAGUAACUGGUUUGCAUUUCAGCAUGCAAAAUUUCUCCAGCACCUUGGAAGCAAAUGUCUGCUGACUUAUAAAAAUACCAUCACUUCCUUGUUUUAUUUCCUUGCCAAGAAAAUAGGUCAUCAUACCAAGAUUAGUCAUUUCAAAGACUUCUUGCAUCUGUUUCUUGAAGUCUUCUAUAAGUUCAUCUUUGCAGGCAAUGACCAGCAGAUCGUCAACAUACAAGGAAACAAUUAAUAAGGUUUCCUUCUGAUCCUUCUUAACAUAGAGUGUAGGCUUACUGACACUCUUAGUGAAUCCGAGCCUAGCUAAGUAGCCAUCAAUCCUUUCAUACCAGCCCUUGGAGCCUAUUUUAGGCCAUAUAAGGCCUUUUCAACUUGUAGACUUUCUGUUCUUCACCAGAGACCUUAAAACCCUCAGGUUGCUCUAUGAAAAUUGCUUCAUUAAGAAAGCCAUUUAGAAAGGCUGACUUAACAUCUAAAUGAUGCACCUUCUAGUGCUUUUGAGCUGCCAAAGCAAGCAGCAAUUUGAUAGUAUCCAGCCUUGCAACAGGUGCAAAGGUUUCAGAAAAAUCAACCCUUUGCUGCUGACUAUACCAUUUAACAACCAGCCUGGCUUUAUGUCUGUUCAGAGAGCCAUCUGCAUUGUUCUUAAUUCUAUAGACCUAUUUCACACCUAUGAUUUUUCUAUUUUCAGGUCUAUUGACAAGCUCCCAAGUGUCAUUCUUCUGAAUCAUUCUAAACUCAGCUUCACUAGCAUCUUGCCAGCAUCUUUCUCUUGCAGCUUCAUCAAAGCAUGAAGGCUCUACCAGAGUUACUGCAUAUCUUUCAUAGAUGUUUGCUAGUGUCCUGGUGCCUCGAACAGGUUCAUCAUUAUAGCCAUCUUCAGUUAUUGCUUCAUUUUUAGCUUGCUGCAAAUCAACAUCAAUCUGAUCUGCCUCAGGCAAAUUUGCUUCAAUUCCAUCCCAUUUCCAGCUACUUCCUUCACUGAAUUUUACAUCCCUGCUCACUAUAAUCUUCUUGGUCAGUGGAUCAAAAACUCUAUAUCCCUUCUUUACACUACUGUAACCAAUAAACACCCCUGGCAUGGACCUCCUAUCCAACUUAGUUCUUUUCUCCUCAGGUAUCAACACAUAACAUAGGCAACCAAACACCUACAAGUGUGAGACAGAUGGUUUCUGCCCAAACUAGGCUUCAAAGGGAGUUUUACCCUUAACUGCACUAGUUGGUAGCCUAUUCAAUAGAUAAACAGCUGUAUUCACAGCUUCAGCCCAAAAAACAUUAGGCAUUUUAGCCUCGAACAAUAGACACCUAGCCAUGUCAAGGACAGUUCUAUUUUUUCUUUCACAGACACCAUUUUGCUGUGGUGUGUCCACAGUAGUCAACUGGUGUUGGAUUCCAACAUCAUCACACAAUUUUUGAAACUUCUGAGAUACAUACUCAGAUCCAUUGUCAGACCUUAAGCAUUUUAGUUUACAAUUUGCUUGGUUUUCAACCAAGGCUUUAAAUUUGCAGAAAGAAUCAUAAACAUCUGACUUAUGCUUUAAAAAAUUCACCCAACAGAACCUUGAAUGAUCAUCAAUGAAGAGUACAAAGUACCUGCUGCCAUUUAAAUAGGUAGUCUUCAUAGGUCCACAGAUGUCUGUAAGAACUAGCUGAAGCUUUUCUUGUGCUCUCCAUGCCUUGUUGACUGGAAAGGGUAAUCUGGUCUAUUUGCCUAGCUGACGGAUCUCACACACAACAUCUUUUGGCUCAAUUUUAGACAUGUCACUGACCAAAUCCAUCUUAUGCAUCAUACUUAGUGAAUUGUAGUUCACAUGCCCCAUCCACCUGUGCCACAAGUCUGUCUCAUCAGACUGAGAUGCAUAUGCCUUAGCCUGAAGCUGAUUUACAUCUACUAUGAAGGGUCUGUCUUGCAUAGCCACUGUGGUUAACACUUCUCCAGCAACAUUUUUAAUCAAAUAGUUUCUGCCUUCAAAAAUAAGGGAGUAGCCCUUCUCCAACAGCUGGCCAACACUUAGCAAGUUUUGGUCAAUGUCAGGUACAUAGAGAACCUCUGAAAUGGUUUUAAUACCUAAAUUAGUGCUUAUCAAAGCCUUGUCUUUCCCUUUUGCCUCCAGCAGCUCUCCAUUGCCAAUUCUGACUUUGAACUUGAAAGUGGUGUCAAGCUCCUUAAAUAUGCUCUUCUCAGAAGCCAUAUGGUGGGUACAUCCACUGUCAAUUAGCCAACUUUUGCUAACUUUGCUUGAGCUUGCAAAGCAUGAUGCUGAAAAAACAUGCUCUUCUUGUGUUUCAACUUCUUCUACUACAUGAGCUUGGUUUUGAUACUGUGGUUGUGCUUUUGGUUUGUUUUUACAAACUUUUUCAAUGUGGCCAAAUUGCUUGCAGGCUCUACAUUGAAUAUUUGGUCUAUACCAGCAGUAUUUCUCAAGGUGAGUAGUCUUCUUGCAAUGGACACAAGGUGGGAACUUCUUUCUGGCAGGUUCUCUAUUCUUCUUCUCAGUCCAAGGCUUAUUGCCUUUGACAUUCAAGUUUGAACUUGAGCAUUCUCUGCUUCUAGCCUGAAAAGCUCCUUCAUAGUGGUCUUCUUGCCUAUUUGCCCUUCUUUGCUCUUGAGCAUAAAGAGCAUUUAUGAGCUCUGUCAAAGGGAUUGUUGACAAGUCUCUUGAAUCUUCCAGAGAAGAAAUUUUUGCUUCAUACUUCCCUGGCAAGGUUGUUUUGACUUUCUCAACCACUCUUUGAUCACUAAAUUCUUCCCCAAGCAGCCUUAUAUUGUUGACAGUAGCCAUGAUUCUGUCAGCAUACUGCUUGAUGGUUUCUGAGUCCUUCAUCUUCAGGUUUUCAAAGUCUCUUCUCAAGUUGAUCAGCUGUUGUUGCCUGGUCUUGUCAGACCCCUGAAACUUCUCCUUGAGUUUGUCUCAGGCCUAUUUUGGAGUGUCACAGGCCAUUAUCAUUGUGAAAAUAACAUCAGAGACUCCACUUUGAAGGCAUGACAUAGCCUUGUAUUUCUUGGCACAGUCUUCACUAUGCUGCCUGAUCUGAGCUAUGGUCGGGUUAGCUUUUAAUGGUGGUGGCUCAGUGUCAUUGAGAACAACAUUCCACAGGUCAUGUGCCUGCAGGUAUGUUCUCAUUUUCACUGCCCAGAUGUUGUAAUUUUCUCCAGCAAAGACCGGUGGAGGAGGUGGUGAAAAACUCAUUUACAGCAACCAAAAAACAACCUCUUCUUCUUUGUUUUAAGCACUGCUUGCCUGUUGACAGUGUACAACCAAGGCCCUUAAAGACUGAAAGCUCUCGAUACCAUUUCUUGGAUCUUUCAGCAUAAACAAAAGAAAAAUCGAAUGAAGCAAAAAGAAGAAACUGAAAAUGAAAACUCAGCAAGAAAUGUAACUGAAAGUCAUCAUUUUUUUCAUUCAAAUUUGAAUAUAUGAAGGUUACAAAAAAAAUGUUUGACAGUUACCUACUAACUUAAUUGCCCUUACUUAAUACAUACUAAAAUAAUGCAAGUUGAUUACAAAAGAAAGCUGGCAUACCAGCUAUUACAUCAGUCAAUCUUUCCUACUAACUUAGCUAACUCAUUACAAAGAUUUGGACUAAGUUCCAUAGGAACAAAACAUUCAAAAAGUAAUUCUAUAACUGAACCAAUUUCAUUUCUUUGCUACAAAACAGUAUAGCAGCUAAACUUAUACAAUUUGCUGUUGCUGGUCUGUUAAUCAAUUUGUUGCUGCUGGUCCUCUGUUGCACUGCAAGCCACGGGUUCAACAGAUUGUUCUUUGAGAAGAAAUUUUCAAGAAUGUCACUCUUGACCCUGUCCGAUGACAAGAGGCUCCACAUUAUUUAUAGCCAUUCAACGUAUAAGGAGAAUUAGGGCGAGUUUGGAUGGGCGGUGCAUUUACUUGCGGUUAGUGUAAAAACAGCGGUGGCGGUGAGAUUAGAUAAUGUAGUGAUACUGUAGCAUGAAACAAAAAGUAAGCUAAACGCACCGCUCCGCUCCCAAUCGCCCAUCCAAACCCACCCUUAGUAUCACAAGUACAAGAAUAAUUUCCAUCACAACUGAACAAAAUACUUCCAAGUCAUAUUCUUUUGUGGAAAGGUAUUCUCAAUAGAAAAGUAUAUCCACGAAAUGAUAGAAAAGGCUUUGGCCACAAUUAAAUCAACACCUUUAAAUAGUUAUACGAAAUUAAAAAUGGAAUCGUCAAUGUCAUGACAUCAUCAUCUUAUAACUUUAUACUCUAAAGAAAAUUUUGUUAAUUAAUUACUACUUUAAUUAUCGAUAAUUUUGCUAAUUAUUUUUAAAUUUGUACUUAAUACACCAGCACCAUGUUUGGCGUGUUUCGUUUCUACGACUUAUGAUUUUCCAAUUAUUUUUGAAUGAAAGUUUUGCUUUCACGAUAAAUUGCAAUUUUGCAUUAAAAUAAUAUUAAAAAAUCCCCCAUCUGUUGCAACAUUGAACAGUGAGAUGGUUGCCUGAGAUUUUCUAUGUAUGAAAAGAAACAAGCAAGAAAUUAGCGAGGCAGGUACUCAAGUAUAUAUCUUUAGCAAGAAAAACUAACAUAGGAAUUCUCCAAUUUGAUCCACUAUUGUGUUUUCUUUUUAUGGGAAGAACAUUAAUCAUUGUGCCCUAGUUACUUCCAUAAAUUUUUGCUUCUUUAAAAAUAAGAAGAAGAAGAAAGAAAGAAAAACAUCAACUUUAGUCCUACAAUGAACUCGUAUAAAUUCGUUAGUCCUGAAACUAUGACUUAAUACAACUGAACCUUUAGAAAAAUAUGGCCUCAUCCUUAACCAUUUCCCUUAUUCUAGGGAUACUGUAGGCUACCAUCCUUCUAAUUUCAUCUGAUACAUCCUCAAUAAUACUCCUAGGAUAUCUGAUUGAUUUAUUCGCUAAUUGAAUACUCAUCCUAGUAUGUUCGGGUUUCCCGAGACCAAGUUGUUUAAACAUCUUGUAGGGCAUCAUAACAUUUAUGCUAGCCCUUAAAUCAGCUAGAACAUUUUCAAUAUUUAAACUACUAAUAAGACAAGGAAUAGUAAAACUCCCUAGGUCUUUAAGUUUGUUGGGUAAUUUAUUUUGGAGAAUGACCGAGCAAAAUGCAUUGAGCUCCACAAUCGAUGAGUCGUCUAAUUUCCUUUAAUUUGUUAACAACUCCUUUAAAAUUUUUAUAUAAUUUGGUAUCUAUGGAAGAGCUUCAACAAAUGGUAAAUUAAUAUGCAAUUUUAUAAUAUCAUGUACAUGAUUAAUAUUAGUGUAUUUAUAUAUUCAUUUAAUUAAAUUGGGCUCAUUGACUCUCAUUAUAUCUCUUCAAAUACACUAUAUGCUUAGAAAUUUCGAAGAAAGAUGAAAACAAUGUUAUGGACAAUUUCAUCGAAAUUAAGCCAAAGUUUUCCAAUUAAGAACCUUUCGUGGAAAAUUUGACAUUUGAAUAAUCAUCACAUACAAUCUUUAUUUAUAAGGUGUUCCACAUUUGCAUAUAAUAUAUUUCCAAUUUGGUCCAAAGAAAAGGGAAGAUAUUUUAAAAGUGCGUAAUUUUGAAUUCAAAGCUUAAUAUAUGUAAUUUAUGCUUAAUCCUUUCAAUAUUUAUGUGUGAAGCAAACUUAUCAAAUAUAAAAACAAUGUCUCUUUCAUAACUACAUGGGAUAGCCUGAUGGUCAAAAGUGUUCACCGCCUCAAGCAUGGUCUAAAUUUGAGCUGUUAUUGUAAUUCAAAAGAAGAAAAAAACAAUGUUUUCAUCAAUUUGCAUAAAGAAAACACUAAGCCAAACCAUUUAGAAAGGAGGGAACGAUGCUCGUGGCCUGAGUUUUAUUCUGGGUGUUUAAAACUCUUAAAUUGUCUUUGAUAAUUUCAUUCGUUUUGGUUUAUUAUUUUUAUACUAAGGUUAGUUUGGGGUAUUUGCACUUAUUUUAAUUUUAUUAAUUUUAAAUAUUAUUUGAUAAAAUUUCCAAUUGUUUUUAUAAAUAUUUUUAAAUAAAAGUAUUCAAUAACUUUUUAAAUACAUAUAAUUUUUAAGUUAUUUACAUUAUUUUUUAUAUCAUACAAAUUAAAUUAAUUUAUAUAAAUUAAAAGGAUAAAUCACUUUUUAACCCUUAAACUUAGUUGCUUUUCUCAAGUUGAUAUCUAAUGUUUUUGGAUCUAAGUUGGUACUUGAACUUAUAUUUUAGGUAACAUUUUCCUCAUUUUUUGUAUCAAUGUUAAAUUAUGUUGACAUACAUUUUAAGAUUUGUGCCAUGUUAUCACUUUAAAUUUUAUUUAAAUUUGAAAAUAUUAAAUAAUAAUAAACAAUUAUUUAAAUAUAAAAAAUAAAACUAUAAAAAUUAUAAACCUUUAUUAAAAAUUAAAAAUAUGAAUAAUUAUAAUAAAUCUAUUUGAAAAUCUUUUUAAUUAUUUUUCUUUUUACUUAGGAUUUUUUAUUCCUUUAUAAUUAGUUAUACAACAAUUAUGAUAAUACUCUAAAAUGACAUACUUUUAUGUGUUAAUUACAUAUAUAUUUUGAGUACGAUCCUACUAAUUUGGGUCAUUUAUGGUUUUUUUAUCUUGUAGGAACUAAAUUGAAGGCAAAAAGAAAUUUGGGAACAAAAAGCGAGAAUUUAAAGACAAAACGAGUCAGUAUGCGAAAUAGGGAAGAAAUUGUGCCGAAAAUACAAAGUGUAGAAGACUUGGGGCAAAAUUUCAAAGAAGAGAUUUAUGAACAUAAGACUUUGUUUAAAUUAAAAUUUUAUUUUUAAGAUUAUUGUUAGGAUUAUUAUAUUGUUUAGAUUUAAUUUCAAAUUAUAUCUCUUAAAUAUUAUCAUCUAAGUUUAAAUAGGAACAAACUGGGUUCUUUCAUGUACUAUAAAUAGGGAAUGGGGUGACAUGAAUAUCCACUCAUCAUUUUUGAAAAAAACUCAUUCUCCCUAAGGCUCCUAGCCUUUUUGUUUCUUUUUCAAUAAAUUCCAUUUCAUUAAAACUAGUGUUUUUUUUUUCCAAAAAGCAUGAAUAACUAAACUCAUCCAGUCAAAGGUUAUCAAGACUCCUCCAAAAGAGUUCAUGAGGCUUAGAACCCGCACUUAGCCCUUCUUAACGAGUGUUCAUCAUUUCUCUGCAUUACAGGACUGACGCUUCCGUCCAUGUCCUUCCAAAAUUAAUCUUUUCAUCUUGUGCAAAGACAACCGCUUUGUAUGUUUUGGGAAGGUUACACAGUCAGUUCACUAACUUACUACGUCAGAGGUAGUCGAGCCCAAGAGAUGAAAUGGUGCGACAUUCAUCAUUGAGAAAUAAUGAUCUAGUGUAAGACAGUCCCACAGAAGUGACGGUUGGCUAGAGUCAGGUUCCACUAGACCGUAAGGCUAUAACCGAAGAGGAGCUAGUGGUCGUAGGCAUCCUCUUCCACUAUAACUUACCUAUUCAGUCAUGAGAAGGAUCACCUAAAAGCCUAUGAUUGAACCAAAGGAGGAUCGAGAUAACUAGAGGCUGGAACCCCUCAAUCGGAAAGCCCAUUUUUCUCAAUUCUACUUCUUAUCACAAUUAUGAUUUCAAUCUGUCAAAACCACUUUUAGAUAAAAGGGAUCGACUUUUAAAAAUAAAAUAACAAAAUAGUAGUCACCGCCGAUCUUUUGUUAAGAUGUGAUCGGAUCACCUUGAAAACGAUUUUGGUCUACGAAAUUUAAAAAAAUAGGUCCGGGAGUCGAUUACUCACAAGGAAGGGUUAGCACCCUCGUAACGCCCAAAAUUGAUACCUAAUUGAUUAAUUAAUGUCUUAAAGUCGAAUGAUAAAAAUCCGAAAAGAUUAAAAAUGAUUCCCCUUUUUAUUAAUGCCAAUUUUUAAAACAACCUUUGAAUAAAUUUGAAAUAGUAUGUAAAAAACUCUCUUGUCUCGAGGCAACAAAAUGUCGUAUCGCAUAAGUUAGGAUGCAAUAUUUGAAUUCUCGAGCAUAAGCUAACCUUUAAAAAUUUAAUUGAAAUCUCAUGUAUUUGAAACCAAAAAAUAUCUAGCCAUUUUGGCUCGAUGAGAAAAUCGAAACCCCGUAAGUUAGGGUACGAUUUUUCGAGGUUCCAAAGAUGACAUAUAAUCUCGCCUUUAUUCUAGAAAAAGAGAAGAUCCUUGUCUCGAGAUAACAAAAUAUCAUAUCCAAUGAGUUAGGAAACAACAAAUUGAAUUCUCGAGAAUAGGUUUUUAUUUGAAAUUUUACGUUUUGAUUUAAAAAGGAAUACUAGGUUUCUUAAAUCUAACAAAGAAAAUUAAAACCCAGUAAGUUAAGGCGCAAUCCUCUUGAGGACCCCAAAUUCCAAGUAUUGUGUUAUUUUUGAAAACCUUUGUAUAAAAUAACUUUGAUACUUAUAUUAAACGUAAUCUUUUGAACGAAUAAAAAACGAUGGAAUAAUAAUUUACAACGCAAAAUGAUGAUUCGUAAAUCAAAAUGUACACUAAUGAAUGACAAACAAUCAAUAAAUAGAAAUAAACAAUACAAUACACAUAAUAGUAAGAAUCUCAUAUCAUAUGUUGGGUGAAUACCAAUAUUAAAAGCUAAAGAAUUAAAAGGAAUAUUAAGCAAAUUAACACAACCAAAGUAUAACAAGUUUUAAAAUAAAAAAUGAAUAAUGAAUAACAUGAAAAAAAAUAUCUAUAUAUAAACAAUAAAUUACAUGCAUACAAUUUCAAAAUAAACAAUAUACGAGUUUGAAAUAGAUCAAAAAUGAAGAUAAAAUGAAUACUAUGUGAAAUGAUAAUAUCCAAAUGAAUUUUAAAGUAAAUAUUGUAUAUAAAAAAACAAAUCAAAAUAUGUAAAAUAAAAAUAAUAAUAUAUAUAUUAAUCUAAACAAAUAAUACAUAUGGAAUGAAAAGUUUAACAAUAACAUAAAUAAUAAUAUAUAACAAUAUAUGUAAAAAGUUGAGAUAGGUAAAAUAUAAUAAAUAGUUUUUUUUUAAAAGAAAUAAAUUAUAUAUAUAUAUGAGAAUGAGAAAAAAAAUGGAAUCAAUAAUGUAUCAUAUAUGUAUGUAUGUAUAAUAUACAUUGUGUAUAUACAUAUAAAAUAUUAUUAUAUAGGAAGAUUAUUGUAUAAAUCAUUAAAACAUAGCAAUAUAGAAGAAAAUUUUAAAGGUAUAUUAUAAAGUAAAACUAUAAGAAAAAAUUGUGUACAAAUAAUAUUGAAUUUAUAUAAAAAUAUAUAAAAUAAUACAUGAUAAAUUUAAAUAAAAAUACAUGAUAAACUUAAAAUAAUGUUAAUAAUAAAUUUAAAAUAAUAAUAUAUUAUAAAUUAAAAUAGUAUUAAUGAUAAAUUUAAAAAUAUAUUAAACUUAAGCAUAAAAAGAAGGUUAGAUUUAAAAAAUAAAUAUAUCUAAAAAAUAACAGAAUAAUGAAUUUUAAACAAAAUAAAAAUCAAGGAUAUUAAAUUAAAUAAGUAUGGAUUAAGUUGUAUUUAAUUCGAAAUUAAAAGAAAAAAAUGAAAAUAAAGCAGAAUUGAGGACCAAAAAGGAACACGCGAUUAACAUGGGGAUUAAAGAGGAAAAUAUUCCAAUCCCCAAAACAUAGCAUUUCAUCAUGGACCAAAAUGAAAUUAACAGGAAAUUAUGUGGCCACAAUUAAAGAAAUAAAAUGGACCAGAUUGAACCACAGCACAAAGGCGAAGGGACCUGGCGCACAAAUAUCCCUCCCAAUACCAAAACGCGCGGAUCUAGUCGCAUUUGGGCCGGGUGAUCGGGUCGCUGGUCAGAACGGUGCCGUUUUAGAACCACUGAAACAAGGUCUAAACGGCACCAUUUCAAUAAUUUGCAUAAAACUAAAAAAACCCUAAAUGUUCCUUUAGCCGCUUUAACACAAAUCAACAAAACCCUCAGCCACUCGGUUGCCUCACCGUUCUCGGUCCCCCCAUCCGAACUCCGAUCGCGAUGGAGUGAACGGGAGUUCAAGGCACUACCACAAAAGGUAAAUCCCCUAUCCCUUAUUCGUUCUCCUUUUUACAUACAUCAAAUAUAAUAAACUGAGAGUCAAAGAAAUUAAAAAUAAUAAUAAUCUAAAAAUGAAAUCAUGAAAUCACCUUUCAAAAACUUUGAUUUUGUAUUCCUUUGUUAAUUCAAUGUUUUUUAAAAUUUGAAGGGAAGAAUACAUGAAUUGGGGGCCCUCAUUUUAUAGCCUGAAAAGCGUUUCUUUUCUUUAUUUUCUCUAAUUUCUUAUUUUUCUGUUAUUUGUUUCUAGUUUGUUCUUUUAUAGGUGCGAGGCCAUACGGUGAUGUGGCGCGGUACGUGGCGUGGCGGAGGUGGCACAGAAGGCGGUGCAUUGUUUGGCUGUUGUUGUGGCGUCUGGACCUAGGCUGUUAGGGUUUAACUGGGUCUAGGAUUGGGUCUGAUGGCUAUGUUGCGCUUGUUAGGGUUUUUAAUUUUAAUUUGGGCUGAUUUUUUUUUUUGGUAAUUGAACUUUAAUUGUAAAUCGACCUUAUUAUUUUGGCUUUAGGCUCUAAUUGGUUUUGGUUUGUAAUGUAAAUGGACUAGACAUUAUUUUAUUUUAUUUAGUUUUAUUUUAAUUUGGUUUUAAUGGGCCCGGGCAAAAUUUGGGUUUUACAACUGCCCCUCUUUGCUUAUUGUCGUGUAACGAGAAUGGAGCAAAGACUUCAAAAAGAUAAAUUUUGCCCAGUCAUGCCGAGUUUUGGCUUCUUGGUACUGCUCCAAUCCACUCUGUCUUGCUGCUUCAAUUCACUCCACUAUAACUUUAUGGAGAUAAGGCUGGUGGCUUUAAUCUGCUCCACUGCAAUGCCAAGGAAAUAAGAUUUGUUGCCUUCAGCUUUAAUCUGUUCUGCUUUAAUCUGUUCCACUUCAGCUUUAAUCUAUUCCACUGCAACGCUAGGAAAAAAAGAUUCACUGCCUUCAGCUUUAAUCUACUACAAUGCCAGAGAAAUAAGAUUAUCUGCCUUCAGCUUUAAGAUGUUCCACUUCAGCUUCAAUCUAUUCCACUACAACACUAAGGAAAUAAGAUUCGCUGCCUUCAGCUUUAAUCUACUGUAACGCCAGGGAAAUAAGAUUCGCUGCGUUCAGCUUUAAUCUAUUCCACUACAACACUAAGGAGAUAAGAUUCGUUGCCUUCAGCUUUAAUCUACUGCAACACCAGGGAAAUAAGAUUCCCUGCCUUCAGCUUUAAUCUGUUCCACUGCAACGGCAAGGAAAUAAGAUUCACUGCCUUCAACUUUAAUCUACUGCAACGCUAGAGAAAUAAGAUUCGCUGCCUUCAGCUUUAAUCUAUUCCACUGCAAUGCUAAGGAAAUAAGAUUCACUGCCUUCAACUUUAAUCUACUGCAAUGCCAGGGAAAUAAGAUUUGUUGUCUUCAGCUUUAAUAUGUUCCACUGCAACGCUAAGGAAAUAAGAUUCGCUGCCUUCAGCUUUAAUCUACUGCAACGCCAAGGAAAUAAGAUUCGUUGCCUUCAGCUUUAAUAUGUUCCACUGCAAUGCCAAGGAAAUAAGAUUCACUGCCUUCAGCUUUAAUCUACUGCAACGCUAGGUAAAUAAGAUUCACUGCUUUCAGCUUUAAUCUGUUCCACUGUAAUGCCAAGGAAAUAAGAUUCACUAUAAUGACUUCAAUCCAUCCCACUGUAACUUCAGCGGUAUAGGAUUUAUGGUUUCACCAAUAUGUUCGCUAGGGAACAUGACCUAUAAAAUCCAUUUCAUGGGCCUAUUCAUGCCUAGUGAUUAGGAUGUAAUGAUUGGAAUGAAAUUAAAAUCUCCUAACUAGAUGUGUAUGAAUGAAUGCAGAAUGCCAUGAAAAUAAUCUCUUAAUGUUUGAGUUGUUAUUGCUCAUUGUUUAUUAAGGCUCCAUCAUUGACAUGUUCUUGUUCGGCUGGUACCUUCGACAAAAGACCCAGAGAAACACUCAAUCAGUUUGCCCCACUAUAACCUCAAGGUUCAACUGUAUUUCUGGGUCAUGAGUCUUGUGCUAUUGAGACCCGGGUAUAAAAUCUGACACUUUUUCCAUCCUCUCCUACUGCAAUUCAAGAGUAUAGGAUGUGAAUAUUCUUCCACUACUUUGGUCAUUUACACCACUCCUAGGGUGUCGUGAUCAAAUGUUUAUGCACAAAUGUAGAAUUUUCUUCUCCAAGAAAAACCUCUUCUUAUUACUCAGUGGUCAUUGCUUGUUUGCUCAUUGAAGCUUUAUCACCGACAUGAUAUUUUGUUGCUUUGUUCAAUCAAUAUUUUGACAGCAAAAUCCAAAGGGAUAGUCUUAAUUUAGACUUUUCCUUCUCAGAUAUUUCCAACCUUUAACCAGGUACGUUCUAAACAACAGUCCUGUUUCAAGUUCUUGUAUUAUUUAGAAACUUCUAGAGUAAUAUACAAAACUUCCUUUGUGAAAGUAUUAUUAGUCCAUUAAUCAUUAUUGCAAUGUAACAUGCUUGCAAAAGAUUAUAACAAUGGAUAAGAAUAGAAUUGAUUUGGAGCAUAGCUCAAAAUGAAUAAAUUACCAAGGAUAAAGAAGAAUAAAAAAGGGAAUUGAUUGGGAACAUGUAUCUUGAAAAGAAUAAAGUAUUCCAAGAAUAGCAAAUUCAAUAUAAAUAGUAUGAAGACUAGAUGCCCAGAUAUCGCAGCUUGAACUUCUCUGUACCAACCUUCUAAAAAACUGUUUUGAAUUUGACAUGUGUUUAGGAGAUCUACAGUACUUUGUCGAUGUCUCAGAUGUUGCAUACCCCUUUCCUGUUAAUUCAAGUAUAGCAAGAUCAUAGCAUGCCCUAUUUUGAUCAAUAUUUGAGCCGCUCUUUUUAGGUUUUCAAGUCAAAUCCCUUUUGGUCUUAGGAUUCCCUUUGCGGGUUUUCACCUUGGCCUCUCUUUUUUUUUAGGACUCAAAGCACCCAUUGCGGGUUUUCACCUUGGUCCCUUCUCCUUUUUUAGGUGAAGUAUUUCUUGACUCAAUUUGAGAGUACAAGAUUUGACAAGUUUUUACCAUCCAUCUUACUCAAAAUCAUUGCUCCUCCAGAAAAGGCCUUCUUUACAACAUAAGGUCCUUCCUAAUUUGGCAUCCAUUUCCCUCUAAAAUUCUUUUGUAGAGGAAGGAUCCUUUUCCACACCAGGUCCCCCUCAUGGAAUUCCCUGGGAUGAACCUUUGUUAUAGGCUCACAUCAACUGUUUUUGGUACAUCUGACCGUGGUGAAUAGCUUUUAGCCUUUUUCCUUCUAUUAGUUUAACUGAUCAUAUCGAGAUUGGAUCCAUUCUGCUUCAUCCAACUUUAACUCAGCCAAUACCCGGAGAGAAGGAAUUUCAACUUUAAUAGGUAAAAUUGCCUCCAUCCCGUAAACCAGAGAGAAAGGCGUUACCCCGGUGGAAGUCCUGAUUGAUAUUCAAUAAGCAAAGAGGGAAAAUGGUAAUUUCUCAUGCCAGUCUUUGUAAGUUUUAGUCAUUUUCUCCACAAUCUUCUUAAUAUUCUUAUUAGCUGCCUCUACCACACCAUUCAUUUUUGGGCGAUACAGUGACAAAUUAUGGUGUCUGAUUUUGAAUUGAUUACAGACCUUAGCUAUCGUGCUGUUGUUCAGAUUCAACGCAUUGCCCGAUAUAAUCCUUUCUGGCAUUUUAUACCAGCAUAUGAUCUUUUUUUUCGAGAAUUUGCUAACUUCUAACUUGGUGACAUUGGCGUAUAAAGUAGCUUCUAUCCGUUUGGUGAAAUAAUUAAUGACCUCAAAAAUAGAGCGAUGCCCAUUAGAAUCCUUCGAUGAUAUCCAUGCCCCACUGUACUCAAAAUUUGAGUUGCCCUUUUCGGGUUUUCAACUCAAACUCCUUUGGUCUUAAAGUACCCUUUGCGGGUUUUUGCUUUGGCCUCUCCUUUUUCUUUUCUUUGUCUUUUUUCUUUUCUUUUUCUUUUCUUUUUUCAUCUUUUUUUUAAAUGUUUUUUUAUUGGAUCUGAACUCAUAGGAUUAGGCAAGUCCUUGUUAUCCCUUUCAAUCAGAACCAAUGUUUUUCUAGAUAAAGUCUUCCACACAAGAUCCUUCCCAUAUUAACAUCCACUUUCAUAUGAAAUCCUUUUGUAUGUGAAGGAUCUUCUUUGAUAUCAGGUUUCUUUCAUAGAACUUUUUGGGGCGAAAUUAUUUUUGGCACAUUUGAUUAUGACGAAAAACUUUGGAUCUUGCUCUUCAAUCGGGAUAACAUCCAAACAAAAACUCGAAGAGAUGGAAACUCGACUUCAAUGGGAAAAGUUGUGAUAAGCCAAAGAGAAAGGCGUUGCCUCGGUAGAGAUUUUUUACUGAAUCGUUCAUGAUGUUAAUCUUGAACAUACUGUAAAUUUUUGAUAUCAUGCUGUUGUUCAAAAUUAAUGCAUUGUCAGAUUAUAAUGUUAGUGCUUAACCCGGGCAUAUCUUGGUAUGAUCAUGCGAAGACAUCUUUAAACUCUUGAAGUAGCUCAACAAGGUCUUGCCUCAUUUCUUUGAUUAUGCAUGUUCUAAUUUUUACUACUUUUCCCUCCUCCAAGGUCACAAUCUCCAUGAGGUAAAAUCUGUUUCUCUUCCUAUUCUACCAUCCUCAACAAGUCCGGAGAUAAGCCACAGUUUAUGUCAUCUUCAAAGUCAUGAGAUCCCUCUAAACAUAUGUCUUAUUUAAAAGGAAAUUUUGAGUUUGUAGCAGCGUCACUCAUGUUCUUGAUAUCCAGGGACCUAUUAUAGGUACCGAAUAAUAUACAAAGAAUGUAUGAUUUUAAGAAUAAUUAUCUGUACAGUAUAUUUACGAAUAAAAUGAAAGAAUAAUUUGGAAAAAAUCCAAAAAGAAUGAAAGAAUAUUUGCUCAAAAUGCAUGUAGAGAUGUAUUUCAUUAAAAUAAUGACGUUCAGACAUGAGCCUAUUUCACAAAGGAGUUCUUAUUGCCUCUAGGCUAAAAGAAACAAGUAUGUUCUAAACAUUACUCUGAGUAAGCUCUAAAAACUACAGAGAUUUCUUCCGCAGUUCAAUUGUUUAACACACUUCCCGAUUCAUAAGGGCGGAUAUCUAACAAGGUCCCUCCUUCAGUUGCUUCUUCGUAUAUAAUAUUGAUGUAAAUGUUUCUCAACAAUUCUUUAAUACUUUCUUCUCUUGGCAUUCUUUACUUUGGAUAAAUAAUCCCUCCCGAUACAAAAGUUUUCGAUAUAUGGGGGAAGUCAUAAGCUUCCAUUCGACCUCAUCCUCGCUCAAAUGUACUCUCCUCCUUUCCUAUUUUUUUCUUUAACUCCUUCCUUCUUUAAUUUGUAUCUAUUUUUGAAGUUGUUCAAGUCUUUCUAAUCUUUGGCCCAUGUCGAUGGUUUUUGCUCGGGUACCGAAACGGUAUUUGGUUGGUAAGUUGGUUUCCAGAUUGACUGAGGAAUGAUUUUAAUCAAUUAGGAUCUUUUAAUAGUCUUUAAUACAUAUGAUGUUAUGUAAUGCAUGAAAUGAAUGCAAAAAGGCACCAAUUCUAAUUCAAUUCCAUUUAGAAAACUUUACUAGAAAACAAAUUUAUUUACAUAAAAUUGGCUACAAAUAAGGCUUUGCCCCAAUGCUCAAAGCUUUAAUCUUCCUAAGUAAUGAAGCUAGUUCUUGCCCCCGAUCUGAUUCAAGUUCGUACUUCACACUCAGCGUAUCGGCUUGUAUUGCCAAAGUCUACAAGUGAUCAGCUACCUCUCGAAUCUGAACCACGGCUUCUCCCAUAAUGUAAUCCUUGUUACUAACUUGGUUCUGAAAAUAGUGAUGCUGUUCAUUCUGACACUCUUCACUUGCUUCAAGGAAUUCAAUCCUACUUUCACAAUUUUGUAGUGCCAUCUCUAAUUCUUCUCUUCUUCUUUUCAUCUCUUCAAUCUUGCUUAAGCUCCUCUCAGCUCCCUUGCAGAAUUAUGAUUUCGGUAUUGAUGAAGAGAUCUUUCCAAUUCAACCACUCUAGCCAUUAAUUCCCUUUUUUCAUUUCGACUUUCUGACAGUUUUUUCUCUAGGGUCUCAUUUUGCGUCUGGGCCUCCUGAAAUUUCUUUUCCCAUCUAUUAGCCUUGAUCUUUUCCUCUUGGAUUUCUUGAUGUCACUGUUUUAAAGUUUUCCCCAACCUAGUAGUUCUCAUUGAGAGACGCAACUUAUUAUAGUCUGUCUUCAAGUUAUCUAAAUCUUUCUAAGCCUUAUUCUUCCCUUUUCUUAACUUCUCAGUUUCUAGCUUUUGAAUAUCAAUGUCUAGUCUCAAAUUCAUCUUCUCUUCUUCCAUGUGGUCUAUCUUUUUUUCUAACUCUAAAUUUCUUCUAUCAAAAUCCUGCAUUAUAAUUUCUAGCUCGGAGGGGACAACUCGCAAGAGCUUUUCUAUUGGUUGAUUGUCUCUCUGACUUGGCCCAAGGAUAUUAUCAUUAAUUCUCCUACCCCACCACUCAAUAUAUUCAGGUGUCACCAUCGGUCCUACUACCAAUCUCUUCAUCCGUCGAGUCUGGUUCCAGGCAUUAGACAUCUCUCAAAUCUUCUUCUUGUAACCAUUGCCUUUAUAUGAGAAUUCGCACUAAACUAGUCCUUGGGUUGCGGGUACGAACUGGCUUGACCUAUACUGUCUUAGUACUAGCAAAGGUGCAUAACUAACAACUCCCCAAAUCCUAAGUAGAGGGACCUAGUCGAAAUCACCACAUCUAUAUAAGAUCUCAUCUGGAAGCAUCCAAGGAGCUCUCCAUUCGAUGUUAUUUUCUUGAAGAUUCUGAAGAAUUGCCAUCCAUUUUUCUUCUGAAAUAUCACCCUGAUAUACUUCCCCAGUUUAGCCGAAGCUUAACACAUCGAUUCGCGAUUAUGGUUUUACCUUUCUCGUGGAGAGAAAAGUAAUAAAAACCCAAUGAGUUUCUUUGAUUUUGGGUCUUUAAUAGGUACAAGCUCUAGAAAACUAUGAGCAAAGGUCCUUCAUUGCGGCAACAAUAAUCAAUCAAAUACACCACCAUAAUCCACUAAGAGAACCCACAAAGUUGACCUGGAGCAAUCUCGUACUCUUAGAGCAGAUGGCAGAAAAACGUAUCUAGGGGCAGAUGACACCCAACUUCCAAGAUGUGGAGGGGGAGCAAGAAACUGCCAUCACUGGUGUCGCUAACCUAUACGACCCAUCAAGACCCGAGAAUUCGUAAGCAAAGUUAGAGAUUUGAAUCCCUAUGCACACAAAGCUCGAUGCAUCUCUUCAUCUUUUGUAGUGCAGAUGAAAAGGUUGGCUUCAAUAAGGACCUUGGAAGUGCGCUCUCACGGUGGGCAACAUGGAAUUAACUGGCCAUGAGCUCCUCUCAUUCUCGACAUAUCUUUGAUGUAGAAAGAAGAAAAAAAGAUAGAGGAAAUUUAAAACCUAAGACAAGGAGUUACUGAGAUUUACUUUGAAGAAAAGCUUUGACUGAUUCUAGUAACAAAAAUGCUAAGUUUGUGCAUUUUAGGGUUUCAAAAAAAAUCCCUUUUUAAAGAACCCUCUUCCCCCACGUUUCGACAGUUUAAAUGAUCGAGGGACAUCAAUGGUCAGAUAUAUACAACCGCGAUUCACCUGUACACAUGGCGAAGCUGACACCAGAUUCCAAUAGACACUACGUAUUCUGCAAGCUAUAAUAAACGCAAAGUGAUGGCCCUAAAGAGCGCCACUUUAUAACCCUCCUUAGGCCUAUUAAGGGCAACCAGAUUGUUAUACACCAAUGAUCACCAACCUGAAACCCAUAGAACUGCCAGGGGAGCUCACAAUAUCAGCUCGCACGAGCCAAGGGGAGUUUGCGGUCUCAGUUCAGAUCAUAUCUAAGGAGUUUACAUGUAGGUGGUCGCGAGGUCUGGUAAGCGAGCUAGAAUGCUACAUGUGUCCAUCAGGCUUGAGGCCUAUUCAGAGCGUCAGUCCUAUGAAUAAUGGAGUCAAGUCCAUGAACAAUGGAGUCAAAUCAUAAACAGUAAUAGUAUGUAUAAAUACUCGAUUGUCCCCUUCAGUGGGACACAACACAGGAUUACUCAACAAAUAGUAUUGAGAAAUAAGGAUAAUUUAUGUUCAUCCCUUCAAAACUUUUAAAUAUUUUAAAUUAUAUUGUAAAAUAGAAAGCUUGAUAUUAUAGAUCAAGUAAAAUUAUUUUCAAAAACUCAUUAGAUAAUAUUAAUUCAAUUCUACCAAUAAGUGAAUGAAAGAAGUGAUACAAGACUUUUUCUUAAGUAUGUAUAUUGAGUUGUAAUAUUAAAGUCAUCAUUGUUGAAACAGGAGCGAAGGCAAAAAAAAAUUUUUGGGGGGACCGAAAUUAAAUUGUAAUUUUUACAAUAGUAAAAAUAUAAUUUUUAAAAAAUUAAAUCAAAAUUUUAUCAAUUUUAGGGGGACAAAGUGUAAUUUUACCUUUACUAAUUUAAAAUAUUAAAGGGCCAAAAUGAAAAAUUUUCUAUUUUAAGAGGGCCCGGGGUCCCUAGUAGCUCCCUAGAUUCACCCCUGAAAGAAUUUUACUCAAAUAUUACUUUUAGCUCAAACAAAAUUUAACUCAAACUAUACAAUAGAUGAAAAUAUUUGUGAUUAAAGUCAACUUUUAUUAAUUUUGUACUUUGUGCUAUAAUCAAUCAAGAGGUAUAUAGGUAGAUUUAUUUAGUUCUUAAGUUGUCGAUAAAGCUAGAAGGGAGGAAUUAGCAAAAGAGUACUGUUAGCCCCUUGCCCAAAAUAAUGGGCAUUAUCCUUAGCGAGUGAUAGCAAAGGUGAUUGCUCUUUACAACUUGAGAAGAAAUUUCCAAGAAUGUCACUUGACCCUUUCUGAUGACAAGAGAUUCCACAUUUUUAUUUAUAGCCAUUCAACAUAUAAGGUGAAUUAGUAUCACAAGUCUAAAAUUUAUUUAUGCUAUCAAUACAUGUGAGUAUUUCUAGAAAUUUGAGUGAAAUAUAUCACAUAAAAACUGAUUUUUAUGUAAUUUUCGUGACAAAACUGGUAUUGAGUUCAAUAAAAUAAAAUCUGCGAAUAGAGAAAACACUAGUAAUUUGUCUCAAGUAUUCCUUUUUGGAUCUUGAUUUAACCUGAACAAGAGCAGAUGAAAAUUUUCGUAGAUAAAAGCCGAAGACGAUAUUUUGAAGUAAAGGCUCAACUCAAUUUCCAAGUCAUAGUCUUUUGUGGAAAAGUAUUCUGAGUGGAAAAGUAUCCAGAAAAUGAUAGAAAAGGCUUUGGGCCACAAUUAAAUCAACAUAUGUAAAUUGUUAUACGAAAUUAAAGAUGGAAUCGUCAAUGUCAUGACAUCAACGUCUUAUUACUUUAUACUCUAAAGAAAAUUUUGUUAAUUAAUUACUACUUUAAUUAUCGACAAUAUUGCUAAUUAAUUUUAAGUUUGCACUUAGUACCCCUGCACCAUGUUCCGUUUCUACGACUAAUGAUUUUCCAAAGAAAAUUUUGAUUUAAGGAGAAAUUGCAAUUUCGGAUUCAAUUUAUAUAAGAAAAUUUCCUUUCUAAAAAAUUGAGAACACUAAAGCUUAAUCCAAAUUAAUUGCUAAGAAAAAUAGCAGCCAACAUGCAUUUGUUUCAUUGAAAAUUAAAACCAAGGAGGUAUCAUUUUCAAGAAAUAUGGACCAUAAGAAGAUUCUCCUUUUAUUAUAUACUAUUGAUACUAACAACAGAGAAAUUUUCAUAUGGCAACAAUUGCAACAACACCUUGACUGCUAUACAAAUCCAUCAGUUUGGAAACUAUAACGUAUAUGCUACUGCUAGAUAAACAGUUUAGAAAUAUCUGCUAAAGUCUUCUGCUCUACCAAACAUUAAAUGAAACAUGUUUAUCUAGGUAUAAAAGAAACAGUUUCUAAAAAUGACUACGCCAAAAAUGCCCAAACCAUUAUGAGGGUUUGAUUAUUUACAAUAAUCACCUCUUCUUAUUUCAUCUUCAGUGUUAGGGUCAACCUGAUUAGGUAAUAAACAAGUAAAAAUAGCAAAAGAAAUUGAAAAUUUUAACACAUAAAUUCAACAUGAAAAAAUCCGUCCAAAGAAAAUAAAAAACUAUGGGGAAAUAUAAUUUUACUAAAAUUGCAAAAGAACGAAAAGUAUAAAAGAUAGAGAUAGAAAUUAAACCCCGAAAACUCAUUAGAGAUUAGAAUUCAUAACACGUUUAAAGAAUUAUUUGUUUUCGGGUUUUCGAGGUUUAGUUUUUAUAUCUAUCUUUUGUACUCUUCGUUCUUUUGUUAUUAUAGUAAAUUUAACUUUACCUGUAAUUUUUAUCCUCUUGAGUUUUUUUAAAAUUAAAAUUGUGUGUUCAAUUUUUUAAUUUCUUUUACUUGUUCCUUACUUAAUUGGGUUGAUCCCCAACAUUUAGAUAUAAACAGAAGACCAAAAAGAGCUGUGGAUAAUUAGGGUUACUAUUCUUCCGAUUGAUGGUGCCCUUGGAUUUUGUAUCCCUGUUUGGAGGUCUUUUUAAUUAAUGAAUUCAUCGACUUAGCAAUAGAAAAAAAAAACAUAUCCAGAACUUGUGUUAGAAAUACCUUCAAGAGAUAAAAUAACAUUGUGUGAAACAAGUAUGAAUUCUUGGGCAACCACAAGACUCCACCAGUGUGACAAAUACAAAAGCUAAAGGCUAUCAAUCAAGAUAAAUUGUUUCAGGAGUGUUGGAAACUAGGAAGAUGAAUUUAACGGAAAAGUUACACUGUCGGUUGGAAUUCUCCUGGACAUUGAACUACUAGGAUUGGUAUCCCAUGAAUGGAUCAUGUCAUCUGUUUCAGAUUCUUCAUCACCACAGUCUUCAAUAACAGUUCCACCUGAAGCUUUAAUCAACUCCAGCUCCAUUACUACUUGUUUCAUGGUGGGUCUUUUCUUUCCAUUAAGAUUCAAGCAUCUUUUUGCUAGCAGAGCCACAACCAUAAUCUCCUGUUCUGAACCAUCCUUUACUACCAUUGGAUUGAGAAUGCUAAAUAAGGAAUUCUCCUGCAUUGAAUGCAAAAAAUAAGAUACCAAGCUUCUCACUUGUUCUGAUUGGUUUGCGGAGAUGGGUUUCUGUCCUGUUAAAAGCUCAAUAAGUACAACUCUGUUAAGUUUAGUUCCCAUGCAAAGGUGGCCAUGCACGACAUGCAAAGGUGGUCAUGCUUCUGGAAUCGCAGCAGGCAGUGGUGCCAUGGUGUGCAGCAAGCUGAAGCUAUCCAUUUAGUUUCCUUAAUUGAAUGUCUUGUAUUUAGUUAGGAUCAAACUUAGUUGGUAGCUGCAUUUUGAUGUAAUUAGGUGCUGAAUGACAAGUUUAGGUAGAAGCUUUUUGUUUUUCAAUCAAGUUUACCAAGUUCUAGGCAAUUUAGUGGUGUUAGGUAUGUUAUUAGGUGAUUACUUGUUUGUUUUACUUGUUGACUGAUAUAUGUAAUGGCUUAAUGCCUUGUUGGCUUGCUUAAUGAAAGAUAUCAGCUCAUUUUCAUUCAAUCUUUUUCUCUCUUUUUCUGUUUUCACUUGCUAGCUUCAUCUUUCUGUUUUUUCUGCUUCCGAGUUUGCUUCUUCACCAAGCCUCGAGGCUUACUACUCAAGCAAGACUAGAAACAGCUUGCUGCUGUCUCUUGCACCAACAAUUGGUAUCGAGAGCUCUUGUCUUAGUGGACCUGUUGCUUCAAAACAAAGAACUUGAUGGCUUCUUCAGGAUUUUCACCAGCAGCCCCACCAGUCUUCAAUGGAGAAGGCUUUCACAUAUGGCUGGUCAAGAUGAAGACUUACCUACAGGCCUUCGAUCUGUGGGAAGUUGUCAACACAGAUACUGAGCCAGCACCACUGAGGGCUAAUCCCACAGUAGCUCAGAUUAGGCAACAUGCUGAUGAGAGGACCAAAAGGCACAAAGCCAUGUCCUGCAUCCAGAACUGUGUGUCAGAUGUCAUCUUCACCAGAAUUAUGGCCUGUGAGACUCCAAAACAGGCCUGGGAUAAGCUCAAGGAGGAGUUUCAAGGCACUGAGAGAACAAGGCAACAGUAGCUGUUAAACUUGAGAAGGGAUUUCGAGAAUUUGAAGAUGAAGGAAGAAGAAACAGUGAAGCAGUACUCAGAUAGAAUUAUGGCAGUGGUUAACAGCAUAAGGCUCCUAGGUGAGCACUUUGAUGAGGCAAGAAUUGUGGAGAAAGUCCUCUCCACUUUGCCUGAGAGAUAUGAGGCCAAGAUAUCCUCUCUAGAGGACUCAAGAGACCUUGCUAGCAUCUCUUUGACUGAGCUAAUCAACACAUUUUAUGCUCAGGAACAAAGAAGAGCUAGCAGAGCUGAAGAUCACCAAGAAGGUGCAUUUCAAGCCAAGGCCAGAGAAACCUCGAGCACUAAUGCUCAAAGAGGCAAAAGGCCUUGGAAAAACAGGCCUAAGCCUGAUGCUGCAAGGAGCAAUGACCAGCCCUGCAGAUAUUGCAAGAAGCCUGGCCAUCCAGAAGACAGAUGCUGGUUUAGGCCAGAUGCAGUAUGCCAACACUGCAAGAAGAAGGGCCACGUUGAAAGGGUCUACAAAAACAGAAGUAAGCCAAGGCAGAAUCAAUUUCAACAGUCAAAGGUUGAAGCUCGAGUAGCUGAGGACAGUAGUGACCAAGAAGAACAGGUCUUUGCUGUUUCCUGUGUAGCUUCUGAGAAGAAAUGCUCUAAAGGCUGGUUGCUGGACAGUGGUUGCACUAACCACAUGUCACCAGAUGCCUCCUUGUUUAAAACCUUGGACAAAAGUUAUAAAACCAAGGUCAAGGUUGGAAAUGGUCAGUUUAUAAGGGCUGAAGGAAGAGGAGAAGUGCUGAUAUGUACUCCCACAGGCAACAAGAUCAUUCCAAAUGUGCUGUUGGUACCACAGAUUGACAGAAACCUUCUCAGCAUAGCUCAACUGCUCGAGAAAGGUUAUUCUGUUGUGUUCAAGGAUAAACAAUGCCAUAUUACUGAUCCAAGUGGAUCAAGCCUUAUGAUAGUCACAAUGACUGAUAAAUGUUUUGAGGUUCACUGGGCAAAUGACUCAAACUCAGCAUACACAGCCUCUGUUGAAGACUCCAAGCUUUGACAUCAAAGGCUUGGACAUGCCAACUUCAGAUCAAUAGCUCGAUUGGCCAAAGAGGGCUUGGCAGAGAACUUCAUCAGCUCAGUGGAGCAUGAUGAUGUGUGUGAAGUUUGCCAAAUGGGGAAACAGGCAAGACUGCCAUUUCCUACAAAUUCAACCUGGAGAGCUACUGAAAGACUGCAGCUGGUGCACUCUGAUGUAUGUGGCCCGAUGAGGACUGAAUCACUCAGCAAAAACAGGUAUUUCAUCCUCUUUAUUGAUGACCUUACAAGGUUUUGCUGGAUUUUCUUUUUAAAACACAAGUCUGAGGUAGCUCAAGUGUUUGUGAAGUUUAAAAAUGCUGUAGAAACAGAAACAGGUUGCAAGCUGAAAUCGAUAAGGACUGAUAAUGGCACUGAGUACACUUCAGCUCAGUUUCAAGCCAUUUGCAAUGAUGCUGGUAUCAAACAUCAGCUUACAAAUGUCUACACACCUCAGCAGAAUGGGGUAGCUGAAAGAAAGAAUAGAAGUCUGAUGGAUAUGGCCAGAUGUCUGCUGUUUGAGAAGAAACUGCCCAAGACCAUGUGGGCUGAGGCAGUAAACACUGCUGUUUACCUUCAGAACAGGCUUCCUACAAAAGCUCUUGCAUCCGAGACACCUUUCGAGGCUUGGUCUGGUUUCAAGCCUUCCUUAGCACAUCUGAAGGUGUUUGGUUGCCUGUGUUAUGCACAAAUACCAGCAGCAAAGAGAGACAAGCUCUCUAAAAGGGCUCAACCAGGUGUUCUAGUAGGCUACAGCUCAGUCAAGAAGGGCUACAGGGUUCUGGAUCCCUUGAUAAACAAAGUCCAGGUGAGUAGAGAUGUCAUCUUUGAUGAAAAAGCCUGCUGGAAUUGGGAGAAAAAUGAGCCAGAAGCAGUUUCAGAAGACCUAGUGCCUAACCAAGCUGAACUUGAGCAGCUAGGACCUGAAAUGGAUGUUGAUGAUGUGCCUGUGAGAGGCACAAGGCCCCUAGAUGAUAUUUAUGAAAGGGCACAGGUUACAAUAGCAGAACCUAGCAGCUUUGAAGAGGCUGAGGCAGAUGAAGGCUGGAAACUAGCUAUGAUCAAUGAAAUCAACAUGAUUGAAAAGAACCAGACAUGGGAGCUUGUUGAUAAACCUGCUAAAAAGAAGACCAUUGGAGUAAAAUGGGUCUAUCGAGUAAAACAGAAUGCAGAUGGCAGUCUGAACAAGCUAAAAGCCAGGCUUGUUGUCAAAGGAUUUAGCCAAAGGUAUGGUCUGGACUACCUGGAGACAUUUGCACCAGUAGCCAGGCUUGACACAGUUAGAAUGAUAGUUGCCUUGGCUGCUCAACAUCAGUGGACCAUUCAUCAGCUUGAUGUUAAGUCUGCAUUUCUUAAUGGCUUCCUAGAAGAAGAGAUCUACAUCGAGCAGCCUCAAGGAUUUGUGAUCACUGGCAAAGAACACAUGGUGUACAGACUGAAAAAGGCUUUAUAUGGCCUGAAACAAGCUCCUCGAGCCUGGUAUGCUCGAAUUGACUCUUACUUGCUCAGUUUGGAAUUUGAAAGAAGUCCCAGUGAACCAACACUGUAUGUGAAGAAGAACCAAGCUCAAACUCAGCUUAUUCUGUCACUCUAUGUUGAUGAUCUACUGAUAACUGGAGGAGAUGGAAGAAUGCUGGAAGAUUUCAAAAGAAAAAUGAUAGAAAUGUUUGAAAUGUCUGAUUUAGGCAGAAUGAACUACUUCCUUGGAAUGGAAGUGAACCAAACAGAAAAGGGAAUCUUUCUUUGUCAGAGUUCUUUUACUAUGAAGAUCCUGGACAAGUUCUCUAUGAAGAACUGCAAGCCAACAAGCACACCAAUGGCUGUUGGAGUGAAGCUUUCGAGGCAAGGGAGUGGUGAACCAAUUUGUGAGACCAUGUACAAGAGUCUCAUUGGCAGUCUGUUGUAUUUGACUGCCACAAGGCCCGAUAUCAUGUUUGCUGUUAGUAUGCUAUCAAGAUACAUGAAUUGCUGCAAUGAUCAGCACUUUCGAGCAGCUAAAAGAGUGCUGAGAUACAUCAAAGGCACCAUUGGUCAUGGUGUAUUGUUCAAAAGGGCCAAAAACAUGAAGUUAAUAGGCUAUGUUGAUAGUGACUGGGCUGGAUCAAGUGAUGACAUGAGAAGCACAUCCGGAUAUGCUUUCAGUCUUGGCUCAGGUAUGUUUUGCUGGAGUUCUAAGAAACAAAGUCUGGUGGCACAGUCAACAGCAGAAGCUGAAUAUGUUGCUGCUGCAUCUGCUGUGAACCAAGCCAUAUGGCUUAGAAAAAUCUUGACUGAUUUAAACCAAAACCAAAAGGAGGCAAUAGAGAUUUAUUGUGACAACAAAUCUGCUGUUGCAAUUGCAAAAAAUCCCAUUUUUCAUGGCAGAACCAAGCACUUCAAUAUUAAGUUGCAUGUUAUAAGGGAGAUGGAACAAGCUCAUGAAAUCGAGCUGAUUCAUUGCAAUUCAGAAGUCCAAAUUGCUGAUAUCUUCACAAAGGCACUCAAUGUGUCUAAAUUUGUUAAAUUCAAAAGGGAAUUAGGUGUUACUAGCAUGGAAACUAAGGAGGAGUGUUAAGUUUAGUUCCCAUGCAAAGGUGGCCAUGCACGACAUGCAAAGGUGGUCAUGCUUCUGGAAUCGCAGCAGGCAGUGGUGCCAUGGUGUGCAGCAAGCUGAAGCUAUCCAUUUAGUUUCCUUAAUUGAAUGUCUUGUAUUUAGUUAGGAUCAAACUUAGUUGGUAGCUGCAUUUUGAUGUAAUUAGGUGCUGAAUGACAAGUUUAGGUAGAAGCUUUUUGUUUUUCAAUCAAGUUUACCAAGUUCUAGGCAAUUUAGUGGUGUUAGGUAUGUUAUUAGGUGAUUACUUGUUUGUUUUACUUGUUGACUGAUAUAUGUAAUGGCUUAAUGCCUUGUUGGCUUGCUUAAUGAAAGAUAUCAGCUCAUUUUCAUUCAAUCUUUUUCUCUCUUUUUCUGUUUUCACUUGCUAGCUUCAUCUUUCUGUUUUUUCUGCUUCCGAGUUUGCUUCUUCACCAAGCCUCGAGGCUUACUACUCAAGCAAGACUAGAAACAGCUUGCUGCUGUCUCUUGCACCAACAAACUCCAAAGCUAUAAAUGUCACUCUUCUCUGUAAAUUGAUUUGUUCGAAAAUAUUCGGGAUCCAUGUAUCCAAAAGUUCCUUGCACCCGAGUGGUUAAAUGUGUCUGUUCAAGUGCAACUGAUCUUGAAGUUCCAAAAUCUGAUACUUUUGCCCUAUAUUUAUCAUCCAAAAGUAUGUUAUUAGAUUUGAUGUCUCGAUGAUAAAUAGGAGCAGAAGCAGCUGAAUGCAAAUAGAACAAGGCAUUGGCAAUUUCAAUCGCAAUUCGUAAACGCAUUUCCCAUGUCAAUGGUAAUUCUUCAUUUUGGUUAUGAAUGAGAUCGUAUAAUGUACCAUUUGGGAUGAACUCAUACACCAAUAGAGGAACUUCAGCCUCUAAACAACACCCUAAAAGCUUAACCACGUUCCUGUGAUUAAUUUGAGAUAAAAUUAUCACCUCGUUAAUGAACUGUUCAACCUUCUUUUCAUCAAAUUUCUUUCCUUCCACCAUUUUGGAUUUCUUAAUAGCCACAAUGCUUCCAUCUAUUAGCAUUCCUUUAUAAACAGUCCCUUGACCUCCUUGACCAAGGAUUCGGUUUUCAUUAUAAUGAUCCGUCGCCUUUUCCAUCUCUUUUGAAGUAAAUAACUUAAUUUUUUCAACAUUACCUUCAUUGCUAGACAAAUGUUGUUGCAGUAACAAACCUCCAUUCCUUUUGAAGUAUUUCUGCUUCAGCAUGAUUUUUUGUUUUCUUUCGAGGACUUUGUACACACUCCAUGUUGCGAGUAGUAGAAAUAGUGUCCCAAUACUAGUGCUGCAACCUAUAUAGAUAUAAGAAACAUAGAUAAAAGGUAAAUCUGAAAAUUAAAAUCAACAAUGAGAGAACCUUAUCGCACCAUCCAUUGUAUCGAUAUUCAACUCUUACAAAUUUAAUGAUAAAUAAUUGUUACUGCCUCACGCAUUCAAAAGUAAAUAUAACACACCUUGAAUUGACAUAAUCCAAUAACCAUAAUGAUUCCACUUUAAAAACAAAGUGUAAAUCAGCACGUACCUAUAAUAAUACUUGUCAAGUCAUGAGUAUUUUGAGUUUGUUUUUUGCGCUCACAACGAAAUCCCGUACUAUUAUAUUCAUAAUGAUUAGGAGGGCAAGACUCCGACGAGCUAUAGUUGGUAGGGGUAUUCAAACAAAGCAUGCUACAAUACUGAUAAUCCCCACAAUUCCCAUCUGUCAUUUAAGAAUUGAAUAAAAAAGAAAAAAGGUUAUAAUCAUAUUAUUCGGUUAAAGUAUUUGAGAGGUCUUUAUGCUAUAUAGAUCGGAUCAAAUUAGACAUUCUAUUAUUAAACGGAUCAAUUUAGUACUUAUAUUAUUAAAAAUAAUUAAAUAAGUUUAAAUUAUAAAAGAGUUAACCUUUACUGUAUAAAAAAUGUCUUGAUUUUUUUUUCAAAAUCUAUUCUACUUUAAACAAAAUAUUUCAUUUACCGAAUCAUAAAAACUUUAAAAAUAAUUAACUCUACUAAAAAAUAUAUGUUAAUUAUAUUUUAAUUUGGUCUUCUUUGAUUCUUUUUAAUAGUAUAAGGAUUAGAUUAAUUCAUUUAACAGUAGAGGGACUAAUUUGGUCAAAUUCCUAUAAUAGAGAGACUCUUAGAUGCUUCAUCCAUAUAAUGCAAUAGAUAUUAAGUAAUUAAUGCAUGCAGUGUAUACAUUUCUGGCACUAUAGAUGUUUAAGAAUUUUUUGCCAAUAAAAAUAUGCAUAAUUAUAUGCAAAAGUACAUUUUUUUUUAGAGAUUCACUUCAAUUGGUGUAAAAUUAAAUAUAUCAGUAUAAAAUUAAAGUUGUUUUACUCGCUUUCGUAUCUCUUUGUACGGUUAAUAUUUUGACAAUUCAACCGUUGAAUUUAAUAUUUUAUUCAUAUAAACCAUUCAUGUAAAAUUUGAUAUAAAUUAAAAAUUUCUAACUUUUUGUUUAAUAUAAAAAAUAUUCAACUGUUGAAUAUAUCUUAAUAUAUUGAGUAUUGUAGAUCAAUACGAUAGAAAUAUCAAAUCGGUUUAAAAAUUUUUAUGCAUGACAAGUACAAAUAUAACCAUAAAUUCAACAGUUGGAUUAUUAAAAUAUUAAUCGUAUAGGGGGAUACAAAAGGAUGUAAAACAACUUUCAUUUUAUACCGGUGUAAGUGGAUUACUCCCCAUAUUUUUUUUAUACACUUAUAUAUAUAUAUAUCGAAAUUUUACAUACUUCAUUAAAUUUGAUUUUGUAUCUUGAAUCUUGAACUAAUUAAUAUAUUUUAGUCAUGAUAUACCUCAACCAAUAAUAACUAAAUUAUGAUAUACAAACGAUGUAAUUGAAAAAAAAAACUUAUGUAACAAUUUAUUUUUAAAAAUUAUUGAUAUAUAAAAAAAGAGUCGAUUGAAAUGGUAAAGUUAACUAAUAGCUACUAAGGUGUCUUUGUUCAAAUUUUAGUAUACUCAUUUUUUUAGAUUUUAGAUAAAAUAUAAAAUGAUAAAAAUACUCUCAUAAUAAUAUUUGUUCUUUUAUAAAAGUAAUAGAUUUUCAUAAUUUUUCAACUGAGUCCAUACUGAGUUAAUGGGUGACACCAACUCAAAUAGCCCUUUAAAAAAUAAUAUUAAUUUAAGGUACACCCAUAAUGGGAUUGGAAAAAGUUAUGUAAUAGACAUAUUUAUUAAAAGCUUAUAUAAGAAUUAAAUGAAUCAGUUGUUGAAAUGAUAAAUGUUAAAGCUUAAAAUUUUUGAAAAUCUCACAAUCUUAAAUUUAUUAUCGAUUUUAUAUAAAAAUUUAAAAAGAUGUGAAUACCCUUAAUAUAAUGAAAUUUAAUUUGUUAAAUAAAAAAAGAUAAUAUAGAUAUAAAAAAAUUUCCUUAAAAAAAUUAAUUCAUACCUUUGCAUAACGUCGAAUAAAUGCGAAUAUCCCUAUCACACGCACAUAGAUGAGUAGAGCUCAACCUCGACCAGCAAUAUUCACCAUCGGAUGUACAAGAAAUGUUCGAACUAUCAUUCAAAUAGCAUUCUCCAAUUAAUGGUGUGCCCCAUUGCAGCUGUGUUGGGACAUGCGUCCUACUACUUAUAUCAGAAUCUUCUAAAUCAUAGUCAUCAGAAAUCAAGGAAGCAAAUCCGCAUGAUUUUUUCUUCCUAUAAUCACUAGAAUCAACCCUAUUACUCAUGUUUAUGUAGAAUGAACUGAGACCCUGAGGGAAAAAAGCAAGACAACUAGCAACAUGGGAAAUCUUGUUAUUAAUCCUACAACUUGGUUGCAAACAUCCGCCCAAAAGUUUAUCUGGUUCAUUGCCAAAAAUAGUAAUCAAAUUACCGCAACCUGAAGAACAAAAACUGUUGUCAGAAGUUGAGUAGGAAAAGCGGGUGCCAGUUAGGUUGAGACUCAUCCCAUUGUAAUGGUUCUUUCGACAGUUGAAGUAAGUUAUUGGAUGGUUGACCUUGAUGGUGCCGUCCAAAAAAUCAAAGUCCAGUAUUUGUAGAAUCAUGUCAUUUAUGUUUAAGAAAGGAACUUUUCCCCCGUUGGCGGUUUUGUUGCAAAUUACUUCAAACCAAUCGUCAGUUUCAUAAUCUUGGUCCUUCAUUCUAAAGGGGUAGUGAAAAGUAACAUUUCCGCAGUACCAUACCUUGUCGGUGUUGACGUUGAUAGGUCCUAGUCCUGGUCUUCCACAUACUGAGGAUUUAGCAAAAAAAGGAGUAAAUCGUAAAAUCCACUAAAUAUAUGUACAGGUGAGUAAAGCUCGAUUAGAUUUGAAAAUAUAAAAAAAAUUCAAAUUUCGAGUUAAUCAAAUUGAGUUAUUCAAAUUAUUAGAGUCAAUUCAAAUAAGUAAUUUGAGUUUCAAGUUCAAAUCGAGUUGAAUUUUACAAUUAGAAUAAUUCGAAUAACAAAUUGGUGUAUAUAUCCUUUACGCCACUAUUAAGUUUGAAAAUGAGCAAAUUGGCCUCUCUCAACAAAAAUUUUAAAAAAAUUCAAAAUAAUUUUUAAAUUUCAAAAUAUUUAUAAAAAUUCCAAAAUUUAUAUAUUUUAAAAAAUUAUAAGAAAUUCUAAAAAUAUAUAAAGAAAGUUAAAAAAGUAAAAAUUUUCUAGAAUAAUAAUUUUGGGACCUAAAUAAGUUAAUUAAUGAUUCAAGUUUAUCAUACUAAAGUAUUUUUUAUUUUGCUUUGAAAAAAUUUUCAAAUAUAUAUGGUUUCAAAUUUAUGUGCUUUAACAAGGACUUAGUUAUACUGUAACAAUAUUUUAAUUUGACAUGUUUAAUUUUUAAUUUAAAUCAAAAAAUUUCACUCGAUUCGGCUAGACUCAAAUUUCAUUUCACUCGACUUAAUUCGAAAAAUUUUUGAAUUAAGUAAAGAUAAUAAAAUAGGACUUGUCAACUCGAUUAACUCAAAUAUAUAUAUAACCAAUAUGAAUCCAGCGGUGUCCUUGAUCUCCCUAAUUAAGUGAACAAAUUAGUAAACUGCACCUUUCUGCCUCUUUCAAAAGAAUUAAUAGUUUAAUUCCAUUUAAGUCCUCUAACCCUUGAAUAAAUGUAAAAAUCACAUUUUUAACUCCUCUAAAAAAUAAUAAUUUAAUUUAAUUUAAUCUCAUUUAAGCAUUAAUUCAAGUUUUUGGAAUACAAAACUUUUAGUUAUAAAUUUUUGAAAGCCAAAAAUAUUAAUAUACAAAAUGAAUGAUCCUAAAAACUUUUUUUUAGAACUUAUAUGAUUCUAAAGACUGAUUUUAAACAAUUAGCAAAAUCUAUAUAUUAACUGAAUUAAGAGAAGAAGAAUAAAAGCCAAGCAAUUGAAGUGACAGCGCGUGACUGACCUCCGUCAUCGCAAUAGGUGGAAUUCCAGUUGAGCACGGCGGGAACUUGCGUAGUUCCAUUAUUGAUGCCAGUGGGUAAUGGGUAAGCACUACGGAAAGAGUACUUGCUAAAGAUGAAAGCAGAUGCGCAUCUUUUGCUGUCAGGAUACAUGGCUGUCAUGUUGACGGUAUAGGAAGUGAGAUUUGCAGUAAUUUGAGUAAAGCAGCCAGAUUCAGAAGCAUCAUCGUCACACCUUGGCUGAAUGCAGCCGCCAAGUGAAACAGCUUCGUUACUUAAAAUAGUAGCCGAAUUUCCGCAACCUACUGACCCGAAAUAAUUCCUCUUACUUGAGAAGAAAAAUGGAGUGCCUAAGAGAUUGACCCUCCCACUAACCUUGUUUAUACUGUCACAAUUAAUGUAAGUAACCGGAUUGUUGAUGAGAAUGGCGUUUGAAUAUAAGGCUUUUCCAAGUACCUCCAGAUCGAUGCCAUUUACGUUUAUGAAUGGCUUUACCCCAUUGAGGGUUGGGUUGCAAGUCACUCUAAACCAAGGUUCCGUAUAGCAGGUGCUAUGGAUUCCAAAAGGGGAUGGAAUUGUAAUAUUUCCACAUGCUUCUUUACCACAGGCAGGUUCUUGAGAUUCUGCUGCUUGUAAUAUUGGGCACAACAUGAAGAGGAGUAGGAGGAUGAGGUAAAGCGGUAAGUGAAAACCCAUUUGCGUUGUUAUUUUGUUUGAGGGAAAUGAAUGAAGAUUUAGAUAGGGUUACUGUAGAAGUCGGGUUUUAAAGAAACAAAAGCAGGGUUAAGUAGCACCACGAGAUUGUAAAUUAUAUUUGUUAAAGUAGCACCACUACUCUUUUUCUUUUUAAAAUUACCAUCACUACUACAUGUCAAAAUAAAUUAUAAUUUUUUACAUCUAAAUUUAGUAAUAUGAUAAAAAAAUAUCUUUAUUUAUUUAAAAAAAAUUUAAAUUCGUGCUUUUAUAUAUACUACUUGUUUCAAAUUUAUAUAGGGUUCACUUCUAUAAAUAUAUUCAUUUCUACCCCACCACGUCAAUCCAACGAGCCUCUUAUCCAUUCUUAUUCGAUCAUGAAAGAGGUAAGACAAAAUAAAAAUACUCACAUUAAAUUUAGAGAAAAUCAAAUUCGAUUUAAUAACUUCCAUAUCUAAUAUUUUACGGCUAAAUUAUAUUCCUUUCCUGCCCCAAUCAAGAAAUAGGACCAACUAUUGGACAAAUGUGUUACGAAGCAAAAUUUUCUUCCGUCAAUGUGCUGUCUCAUUUUGUAUCCCUACAAUCAUUUCUUGGCAAGUGUAUUAAAAUUACUUUUAAAAUAAAAUUUGAAAGUAAAGGUUCAAAAAAUAUAUAAAAUUUAAUAAUUUCCAACACUUGUAUCAAAUUGUAGAUAUAUUAUAUAAAUUACACUUUAUAAAUGAAUAAACAAAUAAAACUCCGAACAUCACAGAUUUAAUAAUAUACUGCACAUUUCCUAAAAAAAUAAUGUACUCCACAUGUUACAAUGCAUUUAAAUGUGAUAUUUCAAAAUCUGAUACUUCUUUACCACAGGUAGGUUCUUGAGAUUCUGCUGCUUGUAAUAUUGGGCACAAGAGGAAGAGGAGUAGGAGGAUGAAGUAAAGAAAACCCAUUUGCGUUGUUAUUUGGUUUGAGGGAAAUGAAUGAAGAUUUAAAGAAAGAAAGGAUGUUUGAGUGAGAAGCAAAUGAAAAGUAUUUGGUCACACUUUCCUUGAAGUUCCAGUAUAUGUGCAUUUGAUUUGAGAAUAAUUCAUUAAUUUGUAAAGAUUGUUGGAUACAAUUUUCCAGCUGCACGUAAGAGGUCUCCAGUGAAAGAGUAGGUUACGUAUAAAGAGUUAAGAGACAAAUAAAAGGGAGAGUCGAGCCUUAUAUUCCUUCAAAUAUUUUUACAAUAGCAUUAAGAAAUAAGGAUAAUUUAUGUUCCUCCCUCCAAAACUUUUAAAUAUUUCAAAUCAUAUUGUAAAAUAGAAAGCUUGAUAUUAUAGAUUAAAUAAAAUUAUUUUUAAAAUUUUAUUAGUUAAUAUUAAUUUAAUUAUAUUAACAAGUGGAUGAAAGAAGUGAUUAAAAAAAAACUUAAUUUAAAAUGAAUAAUCAAUUUCAAUUAAGUUUAUACAAUCCUAGUUGUCUAUAAAGCUAGAUAACAAAGAGUGAGCAUUAUCCUUAAUGAGUGAUAGCAAAGGUGAUUGUUCUUUACAACAACUUGAAAAAAAAUUCCGAGGAAUGUCACUUUUGACGCUGUUCCUAUGAUUAGAGGUUUCGCAUUUUUAUUUAUAGCCAUUCAACAUAGUUAGUAUCAUAAGUCUAAGAAUUAUUUAUGUUACCGAUAUAUGUGGGUAUUUUUGACAUUUAAGUGAAAAUCUCAAUAAACUCUCAAGUGAAGUUAUAUUUUAUAAUUUUUUCUAUUUUUUAAUAAUCAUUAGUAUUUUAUUUUUUUAUAUUUUUUUUAUAAAUUUAGGUAACUUUUACAUUUUUAAAAAAUAUUUUUAAUAAUUUGACAUGUCACACCAACAUGUUUUCACAUGGUAUUUCAUAUGCCAACUUCUCAUGACUUCGGUAAAUCAUGUAAACAACAUAUAAUAUUCAAAUUAAUCAAGAAUUUUUAUUUUUUACUGAGUUCUUUUUACCAUUUAAUUGUAUAUUAAUAUUUAUUACAUUAUUAAGAAUUGGUUUUUAUGUAAUUUUUCUGACAAAAUUCAAUAAUACAUUAUAUAAGCAUAGAUAUAACUUCAUUAAAAUCUGCGAAGAGUGAAAACGUUAUUAAUUUGUCUUGUAGCGACCUAAAAAUUUUUGGCGUUGGGCGCUAGUCGAAGUAGUUAUUGAAAACUUGAAAACCGAAUCUCGAUUUUAUUUGAAAAAGGGGAGUCGCCACCGAUCUUUUUUCUAGGUGUGAUCGGACACCUAAUAAAUUCUCUUUUUUUUUAAGAAAAAUUUAUUUUUUAAAUUUUUCUUAAAAAGAGGUAAUUUUUUGUCUACGUGAAAAUCCAGAGAAAAUUAGAGUUCGGGAGUCGGUUACGUGCGAGGAAGGUAUUAGCACCCUCGCGACGCCCAAAAUUGGUAUCUCGUUAAAUGCACGUUGUCUUCACUUUCAAAAAUGCGAGUUCAAUUUAAUAUUUAAUCGUGAUCCGAUUAAAACACGAGAAAUUUUUUUUUAAAACACGAGAAUUUUGGAAACACAAAUUUUUAAAAAAACGAAAAUUUAUGAAACACGAGAUUUUUUUUUUGAAAAAACGAAAAUUUUCAAAACACCAAAAUUUUUGAAAACACAAGGAUUUUUGAAAUACGAAAAAUUUGAAAACAAGAAAAUUUUUGAAAUACGAAAAUUUUAGAAACACGAAAAUUUAUAAAAUACGAAAAUUUUUGAAACACAGAAGUUUUUAGAAAACACGAAAAAUUUUUGGGGGGGACCGAAAUUAAAUUGUAAUUUUUACAAUAGUAAAAAUAUAAUUUUUAAAAAAUUAAAUCAAAAUUUUAUCAAUUUUAGGGGGACAAAGUGUAAUUUUACCUUUACUAAUUUAAAAUAUUAAAGGGCCAAAAUGAAAAAUUUUCUAUUUUAAGAGGGCCCGGGGUCCCUAGUAGCUCCCUAGAUUCACCCCUGAAAGAAUUUUACUCAAAUAUUACUUUUAGCUCAAACAAAAUUUAACUCAAACUAUACAAUAGAUGAAAAUAUUUGUGAUUAAAGUCAACUUUUAUUAAUUUUGUACUUUGUGUUAUAAUCAAUCAAGAGGUAUAUAGGUAGAUUUAUUUAGUUCUUAAGUUGUCGAUAAAGCUAGAAGGGAGGAAUUAGCAAAAGAGUGUUAGCCCCUUGCGCAAAAUAAUGGGCAUUAUCCUUAGCGAGUGAUAGCAAAGGUGAUUGUUCUUUACAACUUGAGAAGAAAUUUCCAAGAAUGUCACUCUUGACCCUUUCUGAUGAAAGGGUUAUAAUCGUAUUAUUCGGUUGUUAAAGUAUUUGAGAGGUCUUUAUGCUAUAUAGAUCGGAUCAAAUUAGACAUUCUAUUAUUAAAUGGAUCAAUUUAGUACUUAUAUUAUUAAAAAUAAUCAAAUAAGUUUAAAUUAUAAAAGAGUUAACUUUUACUGUAUAAAAAAUGUCUUGAAUUUUUAUUCAAAAUCUAUUCUAUUUUAAACAAAAUAUUUCAUUUACAAAACCAUAAAAACUUCAAAAAUAAUUAACUCUAUUAAAAAAUAUAUGUUAAUUAUAUUUUAAUUUAGUCUUCUUUAAUUCUUUUUAAUAGUAUAAGGAUUAGAUUAAUUCAUUUAAUAGUAGAGGGACUAAUUUGGUCAAAUUCCUAUAAUAGAGAGACUCUUAGAUGCUUCAUCCAUAUAAUGCAAUAGAUAUUAAGUAAUCAAUGCAGUGUAUACAUUUCUGGCACUAUAUAUGUUUAAGAAUUUUUUACCAAUAAAAAUAUGCAUAAUUAUAUGCAAAUGUACAUAUUUUUUUAGAGAUUCACUUUAAUUGGUGUAAAAUUAAAUACAUCAGUAUAAAAUUAAAGUUGUUUUACUCCCUUUCAUAUCUCUUUGUACAGUUAAUAUUUUGACAAUCCAACCGUUUGAAUUUAAUAUUUUAUUCAUAUAAAUCAUUCAUGUCAAAUUUGAUAUAAAUUAAAAUUUUCUAACUUUUUGUUUAAUGUAAAAAAUAUUCAACCGUUGAAUAUAUAUUAAUAUAUUGAGUAUUGUAGAUCAAUAUGAUAGAAAUAUCAAAUUGGUUUAAAAAUUUACAUGCAUGACAAGUACAAAUAUAACCAUCACUACACCAAAACAGGCUUUUAGUGGCAUCUUUUGUGGCGUUUGGACGACAAACGCCGCUAAAGAUCUAGCAUUAGCGGCGCUCAGAAUAAAAUGCCGCUAAAGAUCUAGCAUUAGCGGCGCAUUAUAUAAAGCGCCACAAAAUAUCUUACCAAAACGCAGCGUACGAUCUUAAGGUAUAUUAGAAUUAGUGGCGCUUACGCAAAAACGCCGCUAAAGCUUAGUAUUAGCAGCGCAUCGUCAAAGUGUUGGAUCGUCGGCACCUCUAUGGCGCAGCGAAAAAUAAUGAUCCGGCGAUCCUAACCAGGGAUCCAUGUGUGAGGAACGAAUCGGAGUGAAAGAGGUUGCGAAAUUACCUAAUGUUUAUUCAGAGUAGACAGCAACACCUAACAACGAGUAGUCUGAUCUGCUGUCGAACCAAACCGCAAUCUAUCGUGAUCCCGGCCUCUACGUAAUCCACCUAGUUGACUACGAAUGGAAGGAAUCCCCAAAACAAUUUUGAGAGUUAUUUUUCUUUGACGGCUGCUAGACUCAAACAAAGAAAAACGGGAUUAUAUAUAUAUCCUUUUGUUUUAGGGUUUUUAAGAAUUAAAUAAAUAUAAUAAUAUUUUAAACCGAAAAUCAUAAUUACAUUAAUUAUAAUAUAAGUUCGGUAAACCAUAUAUUUAUUUGAAUUCUUAUGCUAACCAAAUUCAUGUCCUCACUAUACGUACAACAACCUUGUACAUAAUGUGCUGGAAAUUUGAUUACCGAAUUAAAUUAAUUCUAUAAUUAAUUUAAUUCAAGUGACCCCAAAAACAAUACCAACUAUGGUUUAUUCCGUUCAUUUCAACUAUAGGGUGUGACCCUGUAGGUUCUUGUAACGUUAGCAGUAACACUAGAACGAUUCUAAUGCGACGAACAAUGAGUGGCAUCUAGCAAUGCAUCAUUGCUACCUAAGUCACAAGAGAUCAUGAUUCGACAUAACCUUUUUAUGAUUAACCUUUUAUGCAAUAAUCCUUAAGUCCUUUAUCUCUGGAUUGGACACAAGUCAUGGAAUAGUCACCCUUGCAUUGUCCAUUCCAUGUUCCUUGAUAUCUUAAGCAGACUACGAUAUACAAAUAAGUAUGACAUCUAAUAUCAACUUAUUUGAGCACGGCCAUGCAUUUCUAGUCUCACUUAAUCAAGUGGCCUAAGAUAUUACUCCCAUUAUGUAGGAGGGACUUAUCCUAUAUCGACCAACCAUAUCCCUCUACAUAGAUUGUGGUAUAUCCAACAUCAGUCUUUAUAGAACAACCAGUUACGGUGCACGUUUGACUGUAUCAAAAUAUACAACUUACGAUGUUGGGAUUAUGAUGAUCUCAAGUCUGAGGAUCAUAUAAAUAUUAAUCAUUAUGAGUAAUGUCGUGACAAUUACAUAAUAAUCCAAGAAACAUACUCAUAACGGGUCAGUCCAAUAUGUUGUUCUCUAACACACAUAUUCAUGUAAUGAUUCUAACAUUCCGUAUCAAUGACAACUCUUUAUCAUCAAUCAACUACACGUUAGUCUUAAUGCAUUAUCGUUGUCCUAUCCAACAAUAAUACUUGACUAAGGAACUUUUAAGAAUAAUCAUACUAUUCUCAGGACAUUAUUAUAAAACAGUUUAUUUAUAUACACAGAAAAGAAACUGAAAUAAUAAUGGUAACACCUUAUAUUAAUAAACAUGAUAAAUCAAGUAUGUUAUUACAACCAUCUCAUGAUUGAUCUUUGGGCAUACUCUAACAAAAAGCACCGCAAAAAAGAUGAAGCCAACGACGCCGUUUUCUGAGUUUCUGGGAGUGUAGCGGCGUUUUCUGAAAAUCGUUGCUAAUGCUCUUGACUUUAGCAGCAUUUUUUGAAAAGCGUCGCAAAAAAGCUAAGGCCAACGACGCCGUUUUCUGAGUUUCUGCGCGUGUAGCGGCAUUUUUUGAAAAUCGUCGCUAAUGCUCUUUGCCUUUAGCUACGUUUUCUGAAAAGCGCCGCAAAAAACCUAAAGCCAACGACGCCGUUUUCUUUGUUUUUGGGCCUUUAGCAGCGUUUUUAUAAAAGCGCCGCUAAUGCUCCGGCCUUUAGCGGCGUUUUUGAGGAAGUGCCGCUAAUUGUAAUAAAAAACCAUUCCAAUUAUCUCUUUCUUUGAUAUAUUUUUUUGUUAUAAGAUAUAGAAUAUUUCGUUGUAUUUAUUAUAUAUUGGUCAAAUUUACAUUUAAAUGAAAACAAAUAAUAUUAAUAUGAUAAUAUGCAUGGGACAUGGCUAUAUAUAUAGCUUCCUAAAAUGAUGUGGAGGGGGCACCAAACUCUAAUAAAUUUGUAGUCCAUGCCCCAGUAGAAUAGGUUGAAACAUCUUUUUCUCUGGAUAGUGAUAUGCAAGUGAGAUGCUUAGGGGUUAGGGGUUUAGGGGUUAGACGUUAGGGUUUAAGACUUAAGGUUUAAGGGUUUAGGGGUCGGGUUAGGGUUUAGGGUCUAGAUUAAUUUUUUUAAUUUAUAUUUUAAAUAUAUUCUUAUGUAAUUGUAAAAGAGAUAAUAAUAAAUUUAAUAAACUGAAAUUAUGAGUAUAGUUGAAAUUAUGGCUUAAGAGAUAUAUAAUAUAUGUUAUAUUUAAUUAUUGACAUUCAUACCAUUUGAUAUUAUAAGAAUCUAAAAUAUUUGUUUUGUACUACAGUAAUAUUACGAUUUGGGAUUUUUGGUUUUUGAAUUUGGGGUUUAGUUUUUAAACUUAAGGGUUUGGGGUUUGGGAUUAGGGAUUAGGGUUUUGAGUUUGGGGUUUAGUGUUCGGGGUUAGGGGUUUAGGGGUUUGGGGUUUAAGGAUAAUUUAUGGUAUAAUAUUUGAUAUUGGGGUUUGGUUUAUGGUUGUUUGUAGUUUCUGGGUUACGGGUACAGUGUUACGGCUAACGGGUAACGGGUUAUGAGUUUUAGGGUUUAAAUGUGGAUAUUUUAUAAUAUAAUUCGAAUUAAAUUAAAUUUAAAUUAUCAAUUUAAUAAAUAUAUAUAUAUGAAAAAGGAUUAAAUCCGAGAAGCGUACAUUAAGGAUGGUUUCAUGUUAAAUUGAAUUCAUGAACUUUAAUGUUAAAUUGUAUUCAUGAAAACGACGUUGUUUCUAGUGGAUUUGCAUUAGAAUUAGCGGCGCUAAACAGAAAACGCAGCAAUAGAUGAAAUAAUACCGGCGUUUUUAUGAAAACGCCACAAAAUACUGAAGGAAACGGUGCCGUUUGCUUAUUACAUUUAGUGGCGUUUUACAUAAAAUGCCGCAAGUAUGUUUUCUUUGUUAAGGAAACUGCAUCGUUUUCCAUUGUUAUUAGUGGCGCUACACCCAAGACGCCGCGAAUAUAUUUUAAAAUUUACAGGAGUUUGAGUUAAACGACUGCGUUUGACCUUAUAUUUAGUGGCGCUUGAGUAUAAACGCCGCAAAAAUCCAAAUGGUGUUACGAGAAACGGCGCCGUUUACAUAGUUGCUUUUAGUGGCGCUUCUAAUAAACGCUGCAAAUAUGCAUUAUAACUUAAGGAAACUUCGUCAUUUUCCAUUGUUAUUAGUGGUGCUACACCCAAGAUGCCACAAAUAUAUUUUAAAAUUUACAGGAGUUUGAGUUAAACGACUGCUUUUGACCUUAUAUUUAGUGGCACUUGUGUAUAAACGCCGCAAAUAUCCAAAUGGUAUUACAAGAAACGGCGCCGUUUACAUAGUUGCUUUUAGUGGCGCUUCUCAUAAACGCCGCAAAGAUGCAUUAUAACUUAAGGAAACUGCGUAGUUUUCCAUUGUUAUUAGUGGCGCUUGCUUAAAAUGCCGCAACUUGGUUUUAAUUUUAGUACAAACGAUGUCGUUUUGUAUAUAUUAUUCGUGGCGUUUUUUCUAAAACGCCAAGAGGUUUUGGUUACUUGAUGGGGAAACGACUGCGUUUGGCGAUAUGUUAGUGGCGUUUUUAUAUAAACGCCGCAAAUGGGUUAAAUAUUUUGACGAAAACGGCGUCGUUUUUUUUCCAUCCUUUUGACCGAAACAAAACCAAACCCCGAUUCCCCCCCCCAAACUCUCAUCUCCCCCAAAUCACUAAAAUUUCCCCUAAUCCCUAACAGUUCCCCAAACCCAACGUAGUCCUGUACGGCGCCAUUUGCUUUACUGCAUCACAGCCUCCGUGCGUCUCCGGUACCGCAACCAUCGGUAAGUUCGGCAACUUCCUUUUUCUUCUUCAUGCGUGAAUGUUAUCUGGAAUACCGAUUUUGAACAAAAAAAUCCAUUUCGGUUGUUUCGAUAAUGUCGUGAAUUUGGGGCUUCCGAACAUUUGGUUUUUUUUUUUCAUUUUCAGAAAACGUUAUAGGUUGAGAACUUUAAAUAAAAAAUCAGUUUUAUAUAUCGACAUUUAACCAAAAAAAAAACAAUUCAAGUUACAUUUUAAUCAAAAUUAGAAAUUUCGAAAUCUUUAAAAUAAUGAACCUGAACCACAACACUGUUUUAAAUUGAUAAAUAUUUUGAGAUACCCAAAUGUUUUUGAGACUUUAAUCGAAAAGGUAAAAAAGCAAUGAUGAGUUUGAUAUGAAUUAAAGAAAAAGCAUAUAAUAUAUUUGAAGUCAAAGUUUUCAAUUCCCUGUUCAAACUUAUAAUGUUUGAUUAAUGUAGAAGACAUUAUUAUAAGUCAUGCUUGACUCAUGUAUUUCUUUGUAAUUUUAUUUAUUUAUUAUUUGACAGGGUGAACCACACCUCAUGUUCAUCUUGUUUUCCUUUGUUCAUUUUCAUUUUUAAAAAUCUUCAAAAUGGAAUUAAACCCAAAAGCUGGGGCAUGAUCUGUAAAUGUAUUAGAUAUUCAGAAUCUGAAAAUCAUUUUUAAUUUCAACCAGAAUAUUGUACACAAAAUACAUGCAGAACAUUGGCACAUGUUAUCUGCAUAUGUUACCUUAUUUGAAGGAAUAAACUAAACCCAAUUUGCAAUUCAAGAGGCCAAAAAGCUAAUCUCUAACGUGAAUUCAAUCUCUAAUUAAUUUCUCAAAAUCUGCUUUAUUUAUCUGUCGUCUGCAGUUAAUCUAAUUUAACAUUCUUAUAUGUCGAUGUGGUAUAUAUCUAGAAUAGUCAACAUUGGUUAGCAUUCAGCAAAAGGAUGCCCCGAGGGACUUGACGAAGGGAAUUUUAACUUUGAAUGUGAAUUAGUCAACCAUAUAAAAUAUAUUUUGUUUUCCUAUCGGUCAGGCUCUUGAGUUUUUUCAGUCAUCUUUAGCUAAGAUAUUGUGGAAAACAAGGGAAAUUAAAUAACUUUUAAGUAUGCAGGAAAAGUUUACCACAAUCCUCCUAUUUGUGACCGUCACUACUCACUACAUGAGUUUUAAAAUAACAUUAAUUCCAUGAUUUCUUUGACCAUUUUACCAUAUAUUUUCCGCUACCUCUAUUUCCUUUGUCCUACCGUUCAACAUGUUCUGUUUCUACUCCUUAACAAUGAGUCUCUUUCUCUUUACUCAUCCUCUUCUUUUGGUGCUUCAACUAUUCCUCCCUAUCUUCAUCUUAGGACUCUUUGCCCUUAUUGGAUGAACAUUUGCUGCCUGUGUUUUGGCCGAACAAUUGUUUGGGCAGGUACAUGUUAAAAUUUGACAGUUUUUCCCUUAUUUAUAUGCAUUUUCCCAAAUUACUUAACAAAAUAAAUGUUUCUGACUGCAGUCUCUCUUUGCUGGUGAGAGUGAAGUAGACAAAGUUGAGUGAAAUAUUAAGGUAUGUUUUAGUUCAUAACUUAAAUCAAUAAUAGUUUUAUCAUGAUGAUUUUUGAAAAAUGUUUCUUUUGGGGCUCUGGUUUUGUAUAUAUGUAAUUGGUUUUGGUUGUUUUCCUUUAGCUUAUGUUUCAUUUUACUUAUUUUACAAUUGCCAUGUACUUUUCUGACUUAUGUUUUCUGUUAUCAUCCAUCAACGAUUGCUAUAUAUGUUGAGCAAAAUAGAAGCAAUUUAAUAAAUUGUACUGGGAAUUGGAUUAAAUUUUUUUAUUUUAAAAUUAUUCGAAAUUUCUUAACUAUAUGUUACAUUAAAUAACAAAUUAAUCCACUUUCUUUUCACAUUUAAGUUUCAUUGAUAUCAAAUAUGCUUAAUUGUUGUAUACAUAUUAUUCCAUAUCGCAAGUAAAUUAUUUUGAAAAUAAAGGUUAUUUAUGUCUAAAUAAUAUAAACAUUUGGUUAAAAGCCUGUAUAGUUUGCAAAUAUUUAUAUGUUUUCCUCCAAAAUUUUUUUUCCUUUAGUUGCUAUUUUAAUCACGGAAAUUUAGUUUGUUUUGUUUUCUUUUAUUUAAUUUGAAUCAUGGAAAAAAAUUUCAAACUUUUAAUUUAUUUUUAGGUUUAAUUUUAGAUGACUUACAGAAAUUUAGUUAAAACUUACAUAACAUACAUAAUUUAAUUCAAAGUUAUUUUUUAUUUGUUUUAAAGUUAAAAUUCACAUAACAUACAUAAAUUAAAGUUAAAAUUUCUAAACUUUUGUAAAUGGUAUAACUUACUUAAUACAAAACUUAUAUAAUAUUAAGAUCAAAUUUCAAAACUUGCAAAAUCUUACGAUCAGAUUUCAUAAUUUAUGUAUUUUAUGUAACUUACAUAAUAUAUAACUUACAUAGCUUAAGUAACAGUAAUUUCAGAUCUACUUUCACAACUUACAUAGAUUUUAGCAGGACACUUCAUAACUUAUAUAAUAUUAAGAUAAAAUUUCUAAUUACAUAACUUAUAUAAUAUUACAUAACUUAUAUAAUAUUAAGAUAAAAUUUCGAAUUACAUAAUUUAUAUAAUAUUAAGAUUACUUAUAUAAUAUUAAGAUAAAAUUGAUAAUUACAUAACUCGUUUAAUAUUAAGAUAACUUAUAUAAUAUUAAGAUAAAAUUUCUAAUUACAUAACUCGUUUAAUAUUAAUUUCUAAUUUGUAAGUACACAUCAAUUUCUCAUUUGAUAACUUAUACAAUAUUAAGAUAAAAUUUCGAAUUACAUAACUUAUAUAAUAUUAAGAUUAAUUAUAUAAUAUUAAGAUCAAAUUUCUAAUUACAUAACUCGUUUAAUAUUAAGAUAACUUAUAUAAUAUUAAGAUAAAAUUUCUAAUUACAUAACUCGUUUAAUAUUAAUUUCUAAUUUGUAAGUACACAUCAAUUUCUCAUUUUAGGUAACUUAUACAAUAUUAAGAUAAAAUUUCGAAUUACAUAACUUAUAUAAUAUUAAGAUUACUUAUAUAAUAUUAAGAUCAAAUUUCUAAUUACAUAACUUAUAUAAUAUUAAGAUUACUUAUAUAAUAUUAAGAUAAAAUUUCUAAUUACAUAACUCGAUUAAUAUUAAGAUAACUUAUAUAAUAUUAAGAUAAAAUUUCUAAUUCCGUAACCUAAUAUAUAAAUUACAUAACUUACAUAACUUACAUAAAUUAAAUAACUUACAUAACUUAAAUAACUUACAUAAUACGUAACCUUCCUAACUUACAUUAUUUAGAUAAUACAUAGCCUACAUAACUUACAAAACUUACAUAAAUUAAAUAACUUCCAUAACUUACAUAACUCACAUAAUACACAACUUACAUAACUUACAUAAAACAUAACUUAUUACAUAACUUACAUAAUACAUAAAAAUAUAUCAUAUCAUAAGUUACAUAACUCAUUUAUAGUUAUAUCUGGCAUUUUAACUUACCCGUGCAAAUUAUUGUCAACGUGACUUCAAUAAUUUAGAAAUGGACCGGUCUUGGAUGAAUUUGUCAAGGGUAAGCAACGGCUAUCGAAAUGGAGUACAGACGUUUCUAAAUUUUGCAUUUCAAUACGCAAGCCAAGAGAACAUGAUUCUUUGCCCCUGUAAGAAUUGUGUCAACAUAAACUGGCAUUAUCGUGAGGUUGUAUAUGAGUAUCUAAUUGUUGAUGGGUUUGUUCGGGGUUAUAAACAAUGGUUAUUUCAUGGAGAAUGCCCGCAUAGUACUUCCUCUUCAAUGAUGGAUGUAACUUAUCCUGAUACUGCUUACCAUCAGUCUGAUAGAGGGGAUGACAUGGAAGGGAUGUUGCGGGAUGCAUUUAAUAUGCACAAUCAUGGUGUCCAGUUUUCCUAGCUGACUUGUGGCAUCUGAUGAUUGUAAUCUCGGUGGAAAUGCUUUUACCGAACCGGGAAGAAGUGUUCCUCAUGAAGAGCCGAAUGGAGAAGCGAAAAAGUUCUACGCGCUACUUAAUGACAUGAAUGAAGAACUGUAUGAGGGAUCAAAAUCCUCAAAAAUGUCUUUUUGUAUUCAUCUUUUUCAGUUAAAAUGUUUGGGAGGGUGGACCGGGAACUCUUUGACAAUGCUGUUAGAGUUUUUGAGAGAAAUGUUUCCGUUUGCAAAAAUCCCUCAGUCGUGCAAAGAUAUGAAGAAAAUGAUUAAAGAUUUAGGCCUUGGGUAUAACAAAAUCCAUAGUUGCCCAAAUGACUGCAUGUUGUAUUGGGGCGAUCGGAGAAACCAACAGUGCUGUCAUGUAUACGGCCACUCCCAUUGGAUAAGUAGAAACACAGAAGAUGGGAACGGCGAUGAAAAUGAUGCACAAUCAAGGAAGAAGCCAGUCAAGAUUUUGCGGUAUUUUUCGUUGAUACUAAGGCUUCAAAGGCUUUUCAUGUCGUCAAAGACAGCAGAGUCAAAGACGUGGCACCAUGAUGGACGAACCGAUGAUGGAUUACUAAAGCAUCCGGCAGAUUCUUUAGCUUGGAAAUCAUUUGACAAUAAAUUUCCAAGCUUUGCAAGCGAUCCUAGGGGUGUGAGGCUUGGGCUAGCAUCUGAUGGAUUUAAUCCUUUCAAGAUCAUGAGCACUGCCUACAGUACUUGGCCAGUAGUGCUUGUUCCUUACAAUCUGCCUCCGCGGAUUUGCAUGAAGCAAUCUUCCCUUAUCUUAUCUAUGAUUAUCCCUAGAGAGAAAGGGCCCGGGAAUGAUAUCGACAUUUAUUUACAGCCACUUAUUGAAGAGUUAAAACAAUUAUGGGCAGGUGUCGAGACAUACGAUGUGCUGAGAAAGGAGAACUUUAAUUUACGUACAGCUUUGAUGUGGACCAUUAAUGACUUUCCCGCUUAUGCCAAUUUAUCCGGUUGGAGUACCAAGGGUCGUUAUGCAUGUCCUUGUUGUGCUACACAAACAUGUUCGCAAUGGUUGUACAAUGGGAAGAAGUUCUCUUACAUGGGGCAUCGUCAGUGGUUACCGAAAAAUCAUAGAUUUAGAUUUCAGAGUUCUGUAUUUGACGGUACUGAAGAGUUCGGAGAAGCUCAUUCGCAGACCAGUGGCUCUGACAUCUUGUUCAUGUUGGAAGAUAUGAAUUUCAUUUAUGGGAAGAUGAACUAACCGCCAAACACAGAAAGAAAUAGAAGAUCAAAUGAUGAAGCUGAGGAUGACUCUAAUGAAGAGGACAAUCCUAAUGAAGGGGACUUGUGGAAAAAAAGAAGUAUUUUUUUGAGUUGCCUUAUUGGGAGCAUCACCUUUUACGACACAAUCUUGAUGUUAUGCACAUUGAGAAAAAUGUCUGCGAGAACAUUGUGGGUAUAAUUUUGAAUGUCGACGGAAAAUCAAAAGACAAUCUUCAGAGUCAACUUGAUUUAGUCCAAAUGGGAAUCCGACCUGAUCUUCAUCCCAAUCCACUUCCGAAUGGGAAAUAUCGCUUGCCGCCUUCUAUUUUGUCAAUGUCGAAGACGAAAAAAGAAGUGUUCUUCACGGUGUUGAAGGAUAUAAAGGUUCCAGAUGCGUAUGCAUCAAAUAUAUCUCGAUGUGUUACUGUUAAAGAUCGAAGAUUAUAUUCGCUAAAAUCACAUGACUAUCACAUCUUGAUGCAAGAUUUACUGCCAGUUGUUCUACGAUGUUGUAUGUCCAAGAAGGUGACAUCUUGUAUAAUUGAACUAUCCAAUAUAAUGAAAGCCAUUUGUGGCAAAGUUUUGGAUGUUCAAGAACUUCAGAAGGUACAGGAUCAAGCCGCUUUAACUUUAUGCAACAUGGAAAAAUUCUUCCCACCUUCCUUCUUCACCAUUAUGGUUCACUUGAUAAUCCAUCUCCCGUAUGAAGCAAUUCUUGGCGGACCCGUUUUCUAUCGAUGGAUGUAUCCCAUAGAAAGGUGUUAAUUAAAAUUUUUAAAAUUUUCCUUCAUUCACCUCUAUGCCUUUAGUUACAACUUUUGAUAAUAUUGUAUAUUGUGUUUAGGUUCCUAUCCAAAUUAAAGUCUUACUGCCAAAACAAGCGAUAUCCAGAAGGAUCGAUUACUGAAGGCUACUUGGCAGAGGAAUGUAUGACCUUCUGCUCAAGAUAUUUGGAAGAUGUUGAAACAAGGUUGAAUAGACCAAAUAGGAAUGCUAGACUCACGGACCAUAACUUCGUCGAUACUUAUAUGUUCCAAAGUUUUGGAGAACCAAUGGGCAAAGUUGAAAUUACAGAAUUAGAUCAUUUAUCGUGGGUACAAACACAUCGAUAUGUUCUGUUUCACCACGAAUGAAUGGAACCUUUAUGGAAGUAAGUUCUACUAAUUUGAUAAAUAUUUAUCAAACUAAAAAUUGUUUAUCUUCUAACAAAGUGAACAUUUUUUUAACAUAGUUAGUACAAAAAAAUAUUGAGAUCUCGUUCUCGCUCCCGAAGAACACAACAUCGAGAUAUCAAUAAGUUGUUUAUAGAAUAUUUUCAUGAAUGGUUAAGCCAAACGGUAUGCAGUUGGAGCUUCCGCUUACAAAUAAUAAUGUUUUCUCAUAACAUUUUUAAUUACUCAGUUUACUUUCCAUUCAACAGGUUUGGAGUGGGAAGAACGUAAACGACGAAGUUAAAUGGCUCUCCCAAGGUCCAAAUCGAGUGGUUAAAAGAUAUAGUGUGUUCCUCAUCAACGGAUUCAGAUUUCAUACAAAAUAUCGCGAAAGGUUAAGGAGAACGCAAAAUUGUGGAAUAGUUGUUAAUUCCUCAAUUACAAGUUAUGCUAUUGCUAGGGACAAUAAUCUUGUCGAGGGAAAUGUGGAAUAUUUCAGACUUCUUACUGACAUAAUUGAGUUGGAUUACUAUGGCAAAUGGAAAGUUGUCUUAUUUCGAGGUGAUUGGGCCGAUGUUAAUACUGCUCGUGGAAUUAAGCAAGAUCAAUUUGGUUUUACAAUGGUGAACUUCGCCCGAUUGAUUCAUACAGGACAACAACUGAUAGAUGAGUCGUAUGUAUUCUUAUCUCAAGUAAAACAAGUUUUUUACUCAAAAGAUCCAACUGAUGAGGGUUGGUACGUUGUACUCCGUAACAUCCCUAGAGACUUGUUUGAUAUGGGUUGUGGAAGUAGAGAUAACAUCGACGACAGAUCAGAAACUUUACCCUUUCCAGAACAAAACUUAAACGAUAAUAUCCCUAGUACUAGUGCACAAUUUCAAUGGGUUCGUCAGGAUACGGAUGAAGAUAUUUACGAAUAAUGAUGUAGUAAGAUUUUUCGAUUAUUUAAUUAUAUGUAAUAUCAUAAUUUAAUUCUUGGUCUUAUUAUAUAUUUCAACUAUUUUAUAUGUGCUGUUAUUGUUGUAAUUAGUUAUUAAGUUUUCUACUAUUUUAUGUGUAUUGCAGAUAAAAUUCCUAGAAGAAAAAUUCUAAGGGGAAGCAUUGUUCAAAAUGAUCCAAACUCGACAGAAACAAAUAAUACUGAACAACAGACAGUAAUUGGAUCAUCGAAUGUUCCGAUUACAGCUGAGGAUCCUAUAGAAGUUCAAAGUAAUUUUACAUUUAAUUUACAUGCGUGUUGACUUAUAAUUGAUUUAUUUUUCAAAUUCUUAUAUUAUAAUAUACCAUUUGUAGCUGAAAAUGGUGGGACGCGCAGAGGUCGAGGACGUACGCUACUUAGAGAGUUAUACGAGUUAGAUCCAGUCAAGCGUGUCAAAGUUGGACGAAACAGUUUUGGUCAGCCUGUUGGAUCAAAAGCUCGAAUUUUAGCAGGAUACAUGGGCAUUUUAGCACGAAAUGCGAAUAUGUUGCCUAUCAACUACGAGUCAUGGCAUCAAAUGCCCGAUAGCAACAAAAACCAAGCCCUCGAUAAUAUUAAGGUAACUUAAGGUUAAUGUCAUCUGUAAUGCUUGGGAAAUAGUAUUAACUUGUGUUUUUUGUAGGCGAGGUUUGCUUUGGAGGUCUCGGAUGCUUAUGUAAAGAAGGCAUUAGGAAAAAGAUGGAGAGACCAUAAAAGUACUUUAAAGAAAGAUUAUUAUAAUACAAAAACAACCCUCAAAGAGAAAUUGCAAAAUGUCCCGCCGGGUAUGCUGAGGUACCAAUAGGAAGAUGCGGUUAGAUUUUGGCAUUCGAAGAAAGGCGAGGUAUGAUGUAAUUCCAAACUAUUGUAAUUAUUUUGGUUUAUAGUAUUUACUAUUUAAGUACUAAAAAUUUCAUAACGUAGGAUCGUGAACGAGUUGGAAAAAGCAGCAGGCAGAAACAAAAAUUCACUCACACAGCCAGGUCGAGAAGUUUUGCAUGUGUAGCUGAGGCGAAGGUAUUUUUAAUUUUUUAAUAUUGUCAAAUAUGUAUAACUUUCCGUUAAAUAAUAUUUUUACUACUAUAUUGUAGGAACUAUCGUCCGGUCAAAAAGUUGGACGCCUUCAACUUUUUGAAAUUACACAUAGGAAGAAAGAUGGAUCUGCUAUGAAUCCUGAAGCUAGUGAAAUUAUGGUACGUUUACUUAAUACGAUUUGUCUUAGUUUAGUUAUUUAUAGUGUUUGUUUUCUAAUGGUUUAAUUCAUUGCUUGUAAUGCGACUAUUGUUAUGUUGCGUUUGUUUUUUUAAUAUAUAUUGCGUUCCUAACUAUGUGAUUUAUUUAUUAGGAAAAACUAAAGGAUAAAAAGACGGAGUACGAAGCGAUUGCUUCUAGUGAUAGUUCUGUUCAUCUUGAAGACAUUGAGAACCAGAUUAUUACUGAAGUUUUGGGUCCUGAAAGGUAUGGUCGGGUUCGAUUUCAAGGAUCUUUUGUUAGCCCAACCCAAUAUUUUGGAUCCAGCUCGCAGCAAUACAUGGCUUCGGGGAGUCAGGCUCAAGCUGAAGUUCAGAGGUUAAAAGACUAGAUGGCUCAGAUGCAAGCGACCACAGUUGAGGUUCAAAGGAAAUAUGAAGAACUCUAGCUACAACUCAGAGGCAGCAGCGAUGGAAGCAGCGGCUGCAGUAAGGGAAGCAGAGGCUGCAGCGAGAGAAGCAGAGCAGAGCAGAAAGUACGAUGAACUCCAGCAGCAGCUUCAGACUAUGAUGAAGAUGUUUCAGUCGCAACUUCCACCGUUAUAGCGUAUUGCAUAAAUAUUUUUAUCAUUUUAACUUUUUAACAUUUUUGCAAAAAUAAUAUGAAUUCACUUUUAUUUAUUGAUAUUAAUAUUAUUUUAUUCAUUUAAUUUGAAAUAUUAUAUAAAUUUAUUGCUUUUGGCUGGUUUAGAUCUAGUUGCUUUUGAGUUGUUACUACAGGAGGGCUGAAAAAAUAAAAAAUUUUAUAUAAAAAAAUAUUCCAAAAAUAGUGGCGUUUUUUAUAAAAGCGCCGCUAAAGAAACAUUUCUUUUAGCGGCAUUUGUGAAUAAAGCGCUGCUAAAGAACCUGAUCUUUAGUGUCAUUUUUUUGAAGCGCUGCUAAAGAACAUGACUUUUAGCGGCGUUUUUUUCCAAGCGCCGUUAAAGAACAUGAUCUUUAGCGGCGUUUAUUUUUGUAAACGCUGCAAACGUUAGCGACGUUUUCGUUAGCGGCCUUUAAGCGCCGCAAAGAUCUUUAGUGGCGUUAAAAAGCGCCGCUAAAGGCCUAAAAAAAUGCCGCUAAAAACUUGUUUUGGUGUAGUGCAUAAAUUCAACAGUUGGAUUAUUAAAAUAUUAAUCGUAUAGGGGGAUACAAAAGGAUGUAAAACAACUUUCAUUUUAUACCGGUGUAAGUGGAUUACUCCCCAUAUUUUUUUAUACACUUAUUUAUAUAUAUAUCGAAAUUUUACAUACUUUAUUAAAUAUGAUUUUGUAUCUUGAAUCUUCAACUAAUUAGUAUAUUUUAGCCAUGAUAUACCUCAACCAAUAAUAACUAAAUUAUGAUAUACUAACGAUGUGAGUGAAAAAAAAACUUAUGUAACAAUUUAUUUUAAAAAAUAAUGAUAUAUAUAAAAAAAGAGUUAUUGAAAUAGUAAAGUUAUGUAAUAGCUACUAAGGUGUUUUUCUUCAAAUUUUAUUAUACUCAUUUUUCUAGAUUUUACAUAAAAUAUAAACUGAUAAAAAUACUCUCAUAAUAAUAUUUGUUCUUUUAUAAAAGUAAUAGAUUUUCAUAAUUUUUCAACUGAGUUGAGACUGAGUUGAUGGGUGACACCAAUUCAAACAACCUUUUAAAAAAUAAUAUUAAUUUAAGGUACACCCAUAAUGGGAUUGGAAAAAAUUAUGUAAUAGACAUAUUUAUUAAAAGCUUAUAUAAGAAUUAAAUGAAUUACUUGUUGAAAUGAUAAAUCUUAAAUCUUAAAAUUUUUCGUUGAAGGUUCAAAUCUCACAAUCUUAAAUUUAUUAUCGAUUUUAUAUAAAAAUUUAAAAAGAUGUGAAUACCAUUAAAAUAAUGUAAUUUAAUUUGUUAAGUAAAAAAGAUAAUAUAGAUAUAAGAAAAAAACUUCCUUAAAAAAACAUUAAAUCAUACCUUCGCAUAACGUCGAGUAAAUGCGAGUAUCCCUAUCACACACACAUAGAUGAUUAGAGCUCAACCUCGACCAGCAAUAUUCACCAUCGGAUGUACAAGAAGUAUCCGAACUAUCAUUCAAAUAGCAUUCUCCAUAUAUUGGUGUGCCCCAAUGCAAUUGUGUUGGGACAUGCGUCCUACUACUUAUAUCAGAAUCUUCUAAAUCAUAGUCAUCAGAAAUCAAGGAAGCAAAUCCGCAUGAUUUUUUCUUCCUAUAAUCACUAGAAUCAACCCUAUUAGUCAUGUUUAUGUAGAAUGAACUGAGAUCCUGAGGGAAAAAAGCAAGACAACUAGCAACAUAAGAAGUCUUGUUAUUAAUCCUACAACUUGGUUGCAAACAUCCGCCCAAAAGUUUAUCUGUUUCAUUGCCAAAAAUAGUAACCAAAUUAUCGCAACCUGAAUAAUAAAAACUGUUGUCAGAAGUUGAGUAGGAAAAGCGGGUGCCAGUUAGGUUGAGACUCAUCCCAUUAUGAUGGUUCUUUCGAGUUUCGACAGUUGAAGUAAGUUAUUGGAUGGUUGACCUUGAUGGUGCCUUUCAAAAAAUCAAAGUUCAAUAUUUGUAGAUUCGUGUCAUUUAUGUUUAAGAAAGGAACUUCUCCCCCGUUGGCGGUUUUGUUGCAAAUUACUUCAAACCAAUCGUCAAUUUCAUAAUCUUGGUCCUUCAUUCUAAAGGGGUAGUGAAAAGUAACAUUUCCGCAGGGCCAUACCUUGUAGGUGUUGACGUUGAUAGGUCCUAGUCUUGGUCUUCCGCAUACUGCGGAUUUAGCAAAAAAGGAGUCAAUCGUAAAAUCUACUAAAUAUAUGUACAUCCAAUUAGGGGUGAGUAAAGCUCGAUUAGAUUUGAAAAUAUCAAAAAAAAUUCAAAUUUCGAGUUUAUCGAAUUGAGUUAUUCAAAUUAUUAGAGUCAACUCAAAUAAGUAAUUCGAGUUUCAAGUUCAAAUCGAGUUGAAUUUUACAAUUAGAAUAAUUUGAAUAACAGAUUGGUGUAUAUAUCCUUUACGUCACUGUUAAGUUUGAAAAUGAGCAAAUUGGUCUCUCUCAACAAAAAAUUAAAAAAAUUCAAAAUAAUUUUAUAAAAUUCAAAAUAAUUUUUAAAUUUCAAAAUAUUUAUAAAAAUUCCAAAAUUUAUAUUUUUUAAAAAAUUAUAAGAAAUUCUUAAAAUAUAUAAAGAAAGUUAAAAAAUUAAAAAUUUUCUAGAAUAAUAAUUUUGGGACCUAAAUUUGUUAAUUAAUGAUUCAAGUUUAUCAUACUAAAGUAUUUUUUAUUUUGCUUUGAAAAAGUUUUCAAAUAUAUAUGGUUUCAAAUUUAUAUGCUUUAAUAAAGAAUUAGUUAUACUGUAACAAUAUUUUAAUUUGACAUGUUUAAUUUUUUAAUUUAAAUCAAAAAAAUUUACUCUAUUCGACUAGACUCAAAUUUCAUUUCACUCGACUCAAUUUGAAAAAAUUUUGAAUUGAGUUAAGAUAAUAAAAUAGUACUUGCCAACUCGUUUAACUCGAAAUUUUAUAUAUAUAUAUAUAUAAAACCGAUAUGAAUCCAGCGGUGUCCUUGAUCUCCCUAAUUAAGUGAACAAAUUAGUAAACUACACCUUUCUGCCUCUUUCAAAAGAAUUAAUAAUUUAACAUAAACACUUUAACCCUUGAAUAAAUGUAAAAAUUACAUUUUUAACUCCUCUAAAAAAUAAUAAUUUAAUUUAAUUUAAUCUCAUUUAAGUAUUAAUUCAAGUUUUUGGAAUACAAAACUUUUAGGUAUAAAUUUUUUAAAGCCAAAAAUAUUAAUAUACAAAACGAAUGAUCCUAAAAACUUUUUUUAGAACUUAUAUGAUUCUAAAUACUGAUUUUAAACCAUUAGCAAAAUCUAUAUAUUAACUGAAUUAAAAGAAGAAGAAUAAAAGCCAAGCAAUUGAAGUGACAGCGCGACUGACCUCCGUCACCGCAAUAGGUGGAAUUCAAGUUGAGCACGGCGGGAACAUGCGUAGUUCCAUUAUUGAUGCCAGUGGGUAAUGGGUAAGCACUACCGAAAGAGUACUUGCUAAAGAUGAAAGCAGAUGCGCAUCUUUUGCUGUCAGGAUACAUGGCUGUCAUGUUGACAGUAUAGGAAGUGAAAUUUGCAGUAAUUAGAGUAACGCAGCCAGAUUCAGAAGCACCAUCGUCAGACCUUAGUUGAAUGCAGCCGCCAAGUGAAUCACCUUCGUUACUUAAAAUAGUAGCCAAAUUUCCAAAACCUACUGACCCGAAAUAAUUCAUGUCACUUGAGAAGAAAAAUGGAGUGCCUGAGAGAUCCACACUCACACUAGCCUUAUUACAGUUAAUAUAAGUAACUGGAUUAUUGAUGAGAAUGGCGUCUGAAUAUAUGGAAUCAAGUAUCUCCAGAUCGAUGCCAUUUACGUUUUUGAAUGGCUUUACCCCAUUGAGGGUUGGGUUGCAAGUCACUCUAAACCAAGGUUUAGUAUAGCAGGUGCUAUGGAUUCCAAAAGGGGAUGGAAUUGUAAUAUUUCCACAUGCUUCUUUACCACAGGCAGUUUCUUGAGAUUCUGAUGCUUGUAAUGUUGGGCACAACAGGAAGAGGAGUAGGAGGAUGAAGUAAAGCGGUAAGUGAAAACCCAUUUGCGUUGUUAUUUGGUUUGAGGGAAAUCAAUGAAGAUUUAAAGAAACAAAGGAUGUUUGAGUGAGAAGCAAAUGAAAAGUAUUUGGUCACACUUUCCUUGAAGUUCCAGUAUAAGUGCAUUUGAUUUGAGAAUAAUUCAUUAAUUUGCAAAGACUGUUGGAUACAAUUUUCCAGCUACACGUAAGAGGUCUCCAUUCAAAGAAAUAAAGGGAAGAGUAGGAGGAUGAAGUAAAGCGGUAAGUGAAAACCCAUUUGCGUUGUUAUUUUGUUUGAGGGAAAUGAAUGAAGAUUUAAAGAAACAAAGGAUGUUUGAGUGAGAAGCAAAUGAAAAGUAUUUGCUCACACUUUCCUUGAAGUUCCAGUGUAAGUGCAUUUGAUUUGAGAAUAAUUCAUUAAUUUGCAAAGAUUGUUGGAUACAAUUUUCCAGCUACACGUAAGUGGUCUCCAUUCAAAGAGUAGGUUACGUAUAAAGAGUUAAGAGACAAAUAAAAGGGAGAGUCGAGCCUUAUAUUCCUUCAAAUAUUUUUACAAUAGCAUUAAGAAAUAAGGAUAAUUUAUGUUUCUCCCUUCAAAACUUUUAAAUAUUUCAAAUCAUAUUGUAAAAUAGAAAGCUUGAUACUAUAGAUUAAAUAAAAUCAUUUUUAAAAUUUUAUUAGUUAAUAUUAAUUUAAUUAUAUUAAAAGUGGAUGAAAGAAGUGAUAAAUAAACUUAAUUUAAAAUGAAGAUAUAUGUGGUUAUAAUCAAUUUUAAUUAAUUUUGUACUUUAUUUUUAUAUACAUAUAUUUAUAUUAAUUAUUAAGUUUAUACAAUCCAAGUUGUCUAUAAAGCUAGAAGGGAGGAGAUAACAAAGGGUGAGCAUUAUCCUUAAUGAGUUAUAGCAAAGGUGAUUGUUCUUUACAACAACUUGAGAAGAAAAUCCGAGGAAUGCCACUUUUGACGCUGUACAUACUCCAUGUUGCGAGAGGUAAAAAUAGUGUCCCAGCACUAGUAGUACUGCAACCUGUAUAGAUAUAAGAAACAUUGUUAAAGAUGAAUUUGAAAAUUAAAAUACAGGCUAAAAAACCAUGAAAAUUUUUCAAUAAAGUUUCAUUCAUAUUUGAUAGCCAUUCAUUUAAUGAACAAUGAGACAACCUUUUUACAUCAUUCAAUUGUUUUCAUAUUCAAUUUUUAUAAAUUUAAUGAUAAAUAACAGUUAUUGCAUCACGCAUCUAAAAGUAAAUAAAUUACUAUUUAAAUUGACAUAAAUUAAAUAAUCAUAAUGAUUCCACUUUAAAAAUAAGAAGUGUAAAUUCACCACACACCUACAAUAAAAUUACGAGUGUUUUGAAUUUGUACUUUGCGCUCGCAACAAAAUCCCAUACUAUUGUAUUCAUAACGAGGAGGGCAAGACUUAUGAAUUGAAAAAAAGAAAAGCUAUAAUCAGUUAAAGUAUUGAAUUAAAUUAUCAUUUUCUCCUUAUUCCACUCACAUCAUGGAUGUGCCUUAAAUUUGUAUUAUUUUUUAAAGAGAUAAUUGAAUUGGUGUCACCCAUCAAUUGAGCCUUGACUUAAUUGAGAAAUUAUGAAAAUCCAUUACUUUUAUAAAAAAUAAGUAUUAUUAUAAAAGUAUUUUUUUCAUUUUAUAUAAUAAGAUUACUUGAGUUUGAUCUCGAAAAAAAUUUGAAUUCGACUCGGUAAAUCAAGCUAAAUUCGAGCUUAGUAAUGCUUGACUUGAAUAGCUUGCGAGUCUUAACGAUCUUUUCAUAUUUUUAUAUUAUUAAGUUAUGAUAAUUCUCUUAAUUAUCAAGUCCAGAUCGAGUUUAAGUAGCUUGAUUAUAUAUCAAGUGAGUUCGAACAUAGAAACAAAUGUUAAAUUGAACUCAAACCAAAUAUCGAAUUCUAAAUUUUAAGUCGAACUUAACAAUAUUCAAACUAGACUAAAUUACCCCACUACCCUCUACAAGCUAAUCAGUAUAGCAAGUAUCUGCCCCCGUAAAAGGUGCAAUGCACCCCAUUUGCUCUCAUGGCAUCUUCUUCCCUAAUUCAAUGUACAGUAGAAAUUUCCAAGGAAGAUUUGCAAAGAAAGACGAUAAUCUGAACAUUAUUGACAAUUUCCUCACAAUCAAGCUAAAGUUUUCCUAUUCAGAAGCUUUUAUGGAAGAGUCAGCUCUCCUCAUCACAUACAAUCUUUAUCAUAUGUAAGUUUUAUGAUGGGAAACCACUCAGAAACCUUCUUUCAAUAAUAAUAGGAAAACAUCCAAGCAAAGUAAUGAAUGCUUUUUCACUUGUUUGCCAACUUACUUUUUUAGUUUUUAGAGACAAGCAAAACAUGAUUCAUUGUUUCUUAAACUCGUCUAAUUAGACACGGUUUACGCCAUAUAUCAUAUAUGAUAACAAAAGAAUUCUUUCUAUGUGAAAAAACAAUAGUCAAUAUAUUAAAUAGACAUUGAGUAUUAAGCACAAAUUGCAGAUUUUAGUGAGACCGAAAUGUUCUCCAGUUUCAUCAAAUGACACAAAGCUAGAGGAAUAUGACCAGUCACUACACCAGAAUAGGCUUUUAGCGGCACUUUUAGCGGCGUUUUUAACAAAAGCGCCACAAAAAAUGGAGCAUUAGCGGCGAUUUAUACCAAGCGCCGGUAAAGGUCGCGCAUCCGCGGCGAUUUCAAACAAGUGCCGCUAAAACUAGGAAAUAGCGUCGUUUUAUAUAAAGCGCCACAAAAAAACUAAAGACCAACGACGUCGUUUUUGCGAUUUUUAAACCUUUAGCGGCGUUUUUAUUUGUGAGCCACUAAUGCUCGCAUCUAUAGUAGCGUUUUUAUCUGAGCGCAGCUAAUUCCCCGAUCUUUAGGGGCGUUUCUAUAUGAACGCCGCAAUAUCUCUGGUCUUUAGCGGCGAUUUUAUUUCAGCGCCGCUAAUGCUUGCAUCUUUAGUGGCGUUUUAUUCUGAGCGCCACUAAUGCUCUUUGCAUUUAGCGGCGAUUUUGUAUAAGCAUCGGUAAUGCUCGGAUCUUUAGUGACGUUUUUAUCUAAGCGCCAGUAAUCCUCCGGCUUUUAGCGGCGUUUUUAUCUAAGCGCCGCUAAUUUAUUACCUUUAGCGGCGUUUUUCCUGAUGCGUCGCUAAUAGUAACAAAAAUCUUAUGAGUUGAAAUAAUUAAUAUUUUGUUAUUAUGUGGUACAAUUUACAUCUAAAUUAUAAUUAAAAAAUAUUAUUGAUUAAUACAAAAAGUUUUUAUUAAAGAGAAGUCGUAUAUGUAUAUAACAGCUAACUAUUUAUUACUAAUUUUCAAUCACUACAGUUGAUUUAAACUACUUUAUUACGAGACAAAAUAUAUUAAAUUAUGAAUAAAAAAUAUAAUAAAACUUAAAUUUUUGUAUUGUAAAGAAUAAAUUAAAAAUAGAAAUUAACUUUUGUAAGAGUAAUAAAUUUUGGUAGUACUGUUCGACUAAAUAAAUCAAAGGAAUUAAUAUAAAUUAAACACCAAUUUAUACAAAAUAUAUUUUAUGAUUAUAUAUAUAUUAAAGAUUUAUGGAAUUUUUUUAUGGACGGUAUUUUAAGAAGUUCGGGGUAUAGAUUUAAGGUUUAAGAUUUAAGGUUAAUUUAGGGUUAGAGGUUUAGGGGUUUGAGAUUUAGGGUUUCAACGGUCAUGUGUUAGGAUUUAAUUUAGAUUAAUAUUAGUUUUUGAUUAUUUUUUAUGGUAAAUAUAUAUGUUAUUAUAUAUUUGUAAAAUAAAUCCAGAUCAAUAAAUUUAAUAUAUUGAAGUUUAGUAUAGUUUAUAUUAUAAUUAAUAGAUAUAUAUAUAUAAUAGCCUUUACCGGCGUUUUAGUGAAAAACGCCACAAAUAUUGCAAUAUACGACGUCGUUACGCGUUAGGGAAUCAGUUUCUAUUGUGGCGUUUUAUAGAGAAGCGCCGCUAAUAGUCUUGAAACUCUGUCAGAACGGCGUCGUUUCAGUUGAAUGAUGUACUCUAUUACUGGCGUUUUUUUGGGAAAACGCCGCAAAUAUGUCAACUAUUUUGUGAAAACGUCAUCGUUUCUUUCUGUUGUUGAAAAUUUAGUGGCGUUUUUACGCAGAAACGCCGCAAAUGUGAGUUAUAAUUAAUUUAAACGGCGCCGUUUCUUUACAGGCCAUUUAACCCGUGUCCUCAUGUUUUACGAAUUUAUUAUCGAAAAAAAAUGCAUUUUAUAUACAAAAUUUUAUUAAAAAAAUUGUAUUUUAUAUAAAGAGACAAAAUUUGUUGUACCAAUUAAGUUUAUUAUAACAAAUUUUUUUUCCAUUUGUUAAGAGGACAUUUGAAGCUUCAUACGAAAUUUUGUCAAACAUAAUAUUGCUACCUUAUUUCAACUUUAUACAACUUUUUUAACUAUAUAUAUAUAACUUGUUGCUUAAUAGAUUUUCACUAUAUUUUUUAUUAUAUAUUAAAGAAUAUUUAUGGAAUAUUUUGGUCGAUGCAUGGUCGUAUUUUAAGGAGUACAGGCCGGUAUAUAUGAAUUUAAGGUUUGGUAUUUAUGGUUUAGGAGUUAGGGGCUGGGUUAUGCUUUAGGGGUUAUAGACGUGAAUUUAUGGGUUAGGGUUAAGGACAGGGUUAAUUAGGGUUUAGGGGGAUUUAAGGGUUAGAGGUUUUAGGGGUUUGGACAGGGUUUAUGGUUUCUUAAGAGGUUAAUUAAUAUUAGAUUGAUUAAAUUUGGAGGUCAAUAUAUAUGUUUUGAGAUAAAUUUAAUAUUAAGAUAAGUUUUGAGUAUAUAGGUAGAUGAUCUCUUUAUGCAUGUAGCUACAUAUAUAAAUUGAUUGGUUAAUAUGAAGAUUACAAGGUUAAUUUAUAAUUUGAGACUUGUUAAAUGAUACAAUAUAACUAAUAUAUACUAGUUAUAUAAUUAAAAACAUUUAACCCAAAUUAACGGCCAUUUGAUAUAUUUUUUGAUAUAUAUAUAUGGAUAUAUUAAUUAUAUAUAUGGAUAUAUAGAUAUAUAGAUAUUAAUUUAAGAAUUUGUAUAUAUAGGACCAAAAUAAUAUUGGUAUAAAUAAAUAAACAAAUAAAUAAGUAAGUAAUUAUUUAUUUGUUAAAUAAAUUGGUAAUUAAUUAUUUAAAUGUAAGAGAAAAAAAAUGAGAGUUUUAGCGGCGUUUCUAUAUAAAAACGCCGCAAAAGGUAUCCUUUACCGUCGUUUCAUUCAAAAAUGCCACAAAGAUUACAAUAUACGACGUCGUUACGUGUUAGGGAAUCAGUUUCUAUUGUGGCGUUUUUACACAAAGCGCCGCAAAAUUUACAUAACUUUACUUAAACGGCGUCGUUUCUUCAGAGGACAAAUUAACUCUCCUUCAGUGUCGUCCUCCAUUUACAGCAACUGGAAAUCACAGAGAAAUUAGGAGAGAACUUUUCUAAGUGUCGAAAGGGGGGAAAACUUUUCACGAAAAUACAAAGGAAAGAAACGUGCGAGCGAGUCGAUCUUGAAACAAGGUGGGCACAGCUGCGAGAUUUCUCCAUUGAAUAGGUAUGCCGUUUCUGUUCUUUUUUGAUUAAAAUUUUUGGGAUUUAGGUCAGUCUAAGUUAAUUGGGGUUUUAGGGUUUCGAUUAUAGAACAUUAAAAAUGUGGAUUUUGGGUUUUUGGUCAGUCUAAGUAAAUUUAGGGUUUCUUUCCGUGUUGCCUUAAUGCGUUGUUGCUGCUUCUUCCUCCUUCCUUAAACCCCUAUCCGACCCGAUUUGUGGAUUUCUGGUGAUAAUCCGCAAAGUCUUUUAGAAAAGCCGUACAAAUGCUUUUUGUAUGUGCUGCGAAUUAAUGUCAAAACACAGUAUUCAAUAUAGUUAAUCAUGAUUUAUUUUGAGAAAUCAUUAUUAAAAUUAUGGUGUUCGUUUUGUUUGAAUCAUCGAUUUCUUUAAUAUCCUUGCCUAUUCUGUUAUUCCAGCAUCCAUUUAAGGGGAAAUGUAUUAUUUCUUCAAUCCAUUACUGAAAUUGUUUGUUUAAUUUACUUUCAUAUUACUUUCAUAUUACUGGUUGAGUAAGUAAAUGUGUGAAUGUUGUUUGAGUAAUGCUUUUUCGGUAUUGAACUGGGUUGUUUGAUGUUAGACUUAAUUUAGGCAUACAAUAUAAUCAAUUUGGAAAAACGAUAGGUAGGCCACAUCAAUUCAGUAUUUACUGGAGAGAAUUUGUUAUGCCUAGUGUGCAUUAUCUGCGUAAUGUGAAUUCAAUUUGUAGUUAAGUUCGGUUUUGGUUAAUUUAUGAUUUAAAUAUAUCUUUAUUGUUGCUUAAUCAUGCUGUCAUAUAAGUAUAUGGUGUACUAUAUAUAUAUAUAUAUAUAUAUAUAUUGGUGAUGUUUAAUAUAUGAAAUUCGGCAUAACUUAUAAGUUAAAAUGUUUGUCAUAUGUAUUAAAACAUAUAUAAUACUUAGCUAUUUCACAUUGGUUAGGUGAUAUAUAUAUAUAUAUAUAUAUGUGUGAAAUGUAUGAUAUGCCUGAAUUUAACUAAUAAUUAAAUAUAGGUUAUGAUUUAUAGAUUGAAAUAUGCAAAGGUUGACUAGUACUUAUAACAGGUUUGCUAUUUAGAAAACAGGCUGUUAUUAGUAUUUAUAUUUGCAUUAUUUGCCUUUAAAUCUACUUUAUUUUCAAAACGUCCUUAACGAAACUGUUGCUAAUCAAAUGGGUAGCAAUUUUGACAAAAAUUGAGCCCCAUUUAAUUUGUCACCUUCUGACGUGGGGUGGAUUUUAUAAAUAUCUGCUUUAUAGCGUUGGGAAUAGAAUGAGUACCUUAUUACUUCAUCAAGCUGAUCAGUUUUGAUGAUAGGUUAUAAGCUGAUGUACGACUUAAAUGAUAUGGGUUUAAAUCAUUUAUGCAUUUAGGUUUUUUAGGGUUUUUAGUUUAGCUAACUUUGUGAGUAUCCUAUCCUGUUUUUUUUUUUAAGUUUUUUGGCUUCAAUUACUUCUGGUUUUUCGAUACUAAUGUAUUUCUGUCUUUUUGUUCCAGUAUUUGCUUCGCAAUUGAGGAAAUUUAAGGUAUUUAUUCCUAUGUUUCUCUAUUUAGUUUUCUUAUAAAAAAAAGUCAAAUUGUUAAAAAAAAAAUUUCUGUUAUUUUUUAGUUUUAUAGUUUAAUUAUUAUUUCUCAUUUUUAGAAGGGAGUUUCAAUUACCAAUUUAGCUAAAUUUCCAUUUCACUUUGCAGCUUAUUACAUUAUUUGAUGUUUAAAUUUAAGAAUUGCUAUUCGGCAAAGGCAAUUGUUUUAAACUAUUAAAAUUCGGAAUACAACUCUUAAACAACUACAUAUAUUUGAGUAAUUGAAUAAAUUAUGGGCGAAUCGUUUAAUCGGUUGAGCGUUUGCAAAUCAUCGAUUUCCGAUAUUAUGUGUUGCAAUUAUAAAUUUUACUUCAAAUUAAUGACUGAUUAUCGAUCUUAUAUUUGCAACUUGGUUUUAUGUUAAUGAUUAAUAAUCUCGGACAUACAAAUAGAUUUGUAUAUUUAUUUAUAUUUUCUACUAAAAUAAAAAAAUACUUUUUCGAAAUAUAUUUAUUUUGUAAUGGCAAUUCAAAGUAUUAUUUCUUUAAUAACAAAAAUUGUUUUCAUAAAUAUAAACAAAUUAAUUAUAUCUUGUAAUGUGAAGUCAAUGUUAAAUUUUUUUUACUGACAUAAUUUGUUCUUUGAUUUAAUAAAAGCUAUAAAACAUAUAUCAUAUCGUAACGAUAUUUGAAUUAUCCGGAGAUUAAAGCUACAAAAGUAUAUUUUAAAUGAAAUGUAUUCAAAGUUAUAUUUUAAAACAUCUUUGAUAUAUAUAUUUAUAUAAAGUUUUAAUAUAUUUAUUAAAAUUAUAUAUAUACUUGAAAAAUUUAUCAAUCAUAUCAUAAUUUACAUACAUAACACAUAGCCUACAUGACUUACUUAAUACACAACUUAAAUAAUUUAAAUAACUUACAUAAUACAUAACUUACAUUCAUAACUUACAUAAACUUAUAUGUUAAUACAUAACUUAUAUAAAAUUUUUAUAUAAACUUACAUAAUACAUAGCAUACAUAACAAAUAUAAACAAAACUUACAUAACUUAAAUAUAUUACACAACUUACAUAACCUACAUAAUACAUAACUUACAUAACUUACAUAACCUACAUAAUACAUAACUUACAUAACUUACAUAAUACACAAUAACUUACAACUUACAUAACAUACAUUAAUUUGAUAACUUACAUAAGUUACAUAAUACACAAUAACUUACAACUUACAUAACAUACAUAUUUAUGAUAACUUACAUAGCUUACUUAAUACAUGACUUACAUAACUUAUACUCGUACAUAACUUACAUAAUUUACUUAAUACAUAAAUUAUGUAACAUAUGAUAUACCUACAUAACUCAUUUAUACUUACCACUGAACAACUUACCCUUGUAAUUUCUGGUGAAAAUCAGACUUCAAGACUGUAAAAAAUGGACCGGUCUUGGAUGAAUUUGUCAAGGGUAAGCGACGGUUAUCGAAAUGGAGUACAGACAUUUCUAAAUUUUGCAUUUCAACAUGCAAGCCAAGAGAACAUGAUUCUUUGCCCGUGUAAUAAGUGUGUCAACAUAAACUGAAAUUAUCGUGAAGUUGUAUACGAGCAUCUAAUUGUUGAUGGGUUUUUUCGGGGUUAUAAACAAUGGCUUUUUCAUGGAGAAUGCCCGCGUAGUACUUCCUCUUCAAGGAUGGAUGUAUCCUAUGAUAGUACUGCUUACCAUCAGACUUUUAGAGGGGAUGACAUGGAAGGGAUGUUGCGGGAAGCAUUUAAUAUUCAUAGUCAUGGUGGACAAUCGUUCCCACCCGACUUUGUGCCAUCUGAUGAUUGUAAUCUCGGUGGAAAUGCUUUUACCGAACCCGGAAGCAGUGUACAUCAUGAAGAGCCGAAUGGAGAAGCGGCAAAGUUCUACGCGCUACUUAAUGACAUGAACGAAGAACUGUAUGAGGGAUCAAAAUUCUCAAAAUUGUCUUUCUGUAUUCGUCUUUUUCAGUUAAAAUGUUUGGGAGGGUGGACCGGGAACUCUUUGACAGUGCUGUUAGAGUUUUUGAGAGAAAUGUUUCCGUUUGCAAAAAUCCCUCAAUCAUGCAAAGAUAUGAAGAAAAUGAUAAAAGAUUUAGGUCUUGGGUACACCAAAAUUCAUAGUUGCCCAAAUGACUGCAUGUUGUAUUGGGGCGAUCGGAGAAGUCAACAAUGCUGUCAUAUAUGCGGCCAAUCACGUUGGAUAAAUAGAAACACAAAAUAUGGGAACGACGAUGAAAAUGUUGCACAACCAAGACAAAAGCCGGUUAAGAUUUUAUGAUAUUUUCCGCUGAUACCAAGGCUUCAAAGGCUUUUCAUGUCAUCGAAGACAGCGGAGUCUAUGACGUGGCACCAUGACGGACGAACCGAUGAUGGGAAGUUGAGGCAUCCGGCAGAUUCUUUAGCUUGGAAAUCAUUUGACAAUAAAUUUCCAAGCUUUGCAAGCGAUCCUAGGAGUGUGAGGCUUGGGCUAGCAUCUGAUGGAUUUAAUCCUUUCAAGAUCAUGAGUACCACGUACAGUACUUAGCCAGUUGUGCUUGUUCCUUACAAUUUGCCUCCGUGGAGUUGCAUGAAGCAAUCUUCCCUUAUUUUAUCUAUGAUUAUCCCUGGUGAGAAAGGGCCCGGGAAUGAUAUCGACAUUUAUUUACAGCCACUUAUAGAUGAGUUAAAACAGUUAUGGGCUGGUGUCGAGACAUACGAUGUGGUGAGAAAUGAGAACUUUAAUUUACGUGCAGCUUUGAUGUGGACCAUUAAUGACUUUCCCGCUUAUGCCAAUUUAUCCGGUUGGAGUACCAAGGGUCGUUACGCAUGUCCUUGUUGUGCUGCACAAACAUGUUCGCAAUGGUUAUACAAUGGGAAAAAGUUCUCUUACAUGGGGCAUCGUCGGUGGUUACCGGAAAAUCAUAGAUUUAGAUUUCAGAGUUCAGUAUUUGACGGUACCGAAGAGUUCAGAGAAGCUCCUUCGCAGACAAGUGGAUGUGAUAUCUUGUUCAUGUUGAAAGAUAUAAAUUUCAGUUAUGGAAAGAUGAACCACCCGGCGAACACGCAAAUAAAUAGAAGAUCAAAUGAUGAAGCUGAUGAUGACUCCGAUGAAGAGGAUGAUCCCAAUGAGGCAGACUUGUGGAAAAAGAGAAGUAUUUUUUUUGAGUUGCCUUAUUGGGAGCAUCAGCUUUUACGACACAAUCUUGAUGUUAUGCACAUUGAGAAAAAUGUCUGUGAGAACAUUGUCGGUACAAUUUUGAAUGUAGAUGGAAAAUCGAAAGACAAUCUUCAGAGUCGACUUGAUUUAGUCGAAAUGGGAAUUCGACCUGAUCUUCAUCCAAAUCCACUUCCUAAUGGGAAAUAUUAGUUGCCGCCUUCAAUUUUUUCAAUGUCGAGGAUAGAGAAAGAAGUGUUCUGUACGGUGUUGAAGGAUAUAAAGGUUCCUGAUGCGUAUGCAUCAAAUAUAUCUCGAUGUGUUAGUGUUAAAGAUCGAAGACUGUAUUCUCUAAAAUCACAUGACUAUCACAUCUUGAUGCAAGAUUUACUGCCAGUUGCUCUACGAUGUUGUAUGUCGAAGAAGGUGACGUCUUGUAUAAUUGAACUAUCCAAUAUAAUGAAAGACAUUUGUGGCAAAGUGCUGGAUGUUCAAGAACUUCAGAAGGUACAGGAUAGAGCCGCAUUGACUUUAUGCAACAUGGAGAAAAUCUUUCCACCUUCCUUCUUCACUAUUAUGGUUCACUUGAUAAUCCACCUCCCGGGAGAAGCAAUUCUCGGCGGACCCGUUUUGUACCGAUGGAUGUAUCCCAUAGAAAUGUGUUAAUUUAUGUUAAAAACUCUCCUUCCGUAAACCCUAUAUGCAUUUAAGUACAACUUUUCAUAACAUUAUUUCGUGUUUAGGUUCCUAUCCAAAUUAAAGUCUUACUGCCGCAACAAGCGUUAUCUAGAAGGAUCGAUUACUGAAGCCUACUUAGCAGAUGAAUGUAUGACAUUCUGUUCGCGAUACUUGGAUGAUGUCGAAACAAGGUUGAGCAGACCAAAUAGAAAUGCUGGACUCACGGAUCAUAACUUGGCCGAUACUUAUUUGUUCGAAAGUUUUGGAGAAGCAAUCGGCAAAGUGGAAAUUGCAGAAUUAGAUGGUUUUUCGUGGGUACAAGCACAUCGGUAUGUUCUGUUUCACCACGAAUCAAUGGAACCUUUACGCAAGUAAGUUCUACAAAUUUGAUAAAUAUUCAUCAAUUAAAAAUUGUUUAUAUUCUAACAAGCUGAACAUAUAUUUUAUACAUAGUGAGUACAAACAAAUACUGAGAUCUCGUGCGCGCUCCCGAAGAACACAACUUCGAGACAUCAAUAAGUUGUUCAUUGAAUCUUUCUAUGAAUGGUUAACCCAAACGGUAUGCAAUUGUAGCUUUCAUCGACAUAUAAUAAUAAUCUUCUCUCAUAACAUCGCUAAUUACUCAGUUGACUUUCCAUACAAUAGGUUUGGAGUGGGAAGAACGUGACCGACGAAGUUAAAUGGCUUUCUCAAGGUCUAGAUCGGGUGGUUAAAAGAUUUAGUGCGUUUCUCAUAAACGGCUUCAGAUUUCAUACAAAAUAUCGCGAGAGAUUGAGGAGAACGCAAAAUUCUGGAAUAGUUGUUAAUUCCUCAAUUACUAGUUAUGCUAGUGCUAGGGACAACAAUCCUGUCGAGGGAAAUGUCGAAUAUUUCAGACUUCUUACUGAUAUAAUUGAGUUGGAUUACUACGGAAAAUGGAAAGUUGUCUUAUUUCGAGGUGAUUGGGCCGAUGUUAAUACUGGUCGUGGAAUUAAGCAAGAUCAAUUUUGUUUCACAAUGGUGAAGUUCAAUCGAUUGAUUCAUACAGGACAACAAUUGAUUGAUGAGCCGUACGUAUUUUCUUCUCAAGUCAAACAAGUAUUUUACUCAAAAGAUCCAAUUGAUGAGGGUUGGUACGUUGUACUCCGUAACAUCUCUAAGGACUUGUUUGACAUAGGCAGUGGAAGUAGAGAUGGCGUUGACGACAGAACAGAAACUUUGCCAUUUCUAGAACAAAACUUAAAUGAAAACAUCCCUAGUACUAGUACACACAGUCAAUGGGUCCGCCAGGAUACGGAUGAAGAUAUUUAUGGAUUAUAAUAUAGUAAGCUUUUACGAUUAUUUAAUCAUAUGUAAUAUCAUAUCAUAAUAUUGGUCUUAAUAUAUAUUUGAACUAUUUUAAACAUAUUAUUAUUGUUGUAAUUGUAUAUUAAGUUUUCAACUAAUUAUUUUGUAUUGCAGAUAAAAUGCCUAGAAGACCCGUUCGAGCGCACCGCAUUGUUCAAGGUACUCCAAACUCGACCGAAACAAACAGCACUGAACAACAAACUGCUAUUGGAUCUUCGAAUGUUCCGGUCCCACAUGACGAACCUAUAGAAGUUGAAACUAAUUUAACUUCUAACUUACAUGUGUGUUCACUUAUUAUUUAUUUUAUCUUUUAAAUUUCUUAUAUUACAAUACUUUUAUUUUCUAGCUGAAACUGUCGGGACGCGGAGAGUUCGCGGACGUACUCUACUGAGGGAUUUAUACGAUCUAGAUCCAAUCGAGCGUGUCCAAGUAUCCAGUAAUAGCUUUGGUCAGCCUAUUGGAUCAGAAGCUCGCCUUUUAGCAGGAUACAUGGGCAUUCUAGCACGGAAUCCAAAUAUAUUGCCAAUUAACUUCGAGUCAUGGUGCAAAGUGCCCGAGAGUAACAAGAACCAAGCUCUCGAUAACAUUAAGGUAACAAAACGUGUAUGUCAUUUAUAAUACUUGGGUUUAAGUUUCGUUUACAUUUAGUUUCUAUAUAAAAACAAAACGUGUUUUUUGUAGGCGAGAUUUGCUCUAGAGGUCUCCGAUGCUUAUCUAAAGAAGGCAUUAGGAAAAAAGUGGAGAGACCAUAAGAGCACAUUAAAGAAAGAAUAUUUUAAGACAAAGACAACAGUCGAUAAGAAAUUAGAUAAUGUUCCACCGGGAAUGCUUAGGUACCAGUGGGAAGAGGUCGUUAGAUUUUGGACUUCGAAGAAAUGAGAGGUAUGUGUUACUACAAAAAUCUUGUAAUUAUUUUGGUUUAUAGUAUUUAAUAAUUAACGUACUAAUAAUUUGAUAACGUAGGAUCGUGAACGAGUUGGAACAAGUAAUAGGCAGAAACAAAAAUUCACGCACACAGCUGGGUCGAGAAGUUUUGCGUGUGUAGCUCAGGCUGAGGUAUUUUGGAUUUAUACGGUACUGGCAGAUAUUUAUUACUUUAUAUCAAAUAAUAUUUUUACUAUUGUAUUGCAGGAAGUGCUGUCGGGUCAAAAAAUUGGACGCCUUCAACUUUUUGACAUUACACAUAGGAAGAAAGAUGGAAACCCUUUGACUCCUGAAGCUGCAGAAAUUAUGGUACGUUCGCUUAAUACAAUUUGACUUGUUUUAAUUAUUUUUACUGUUCUAAUGGUUUAUUUCAUUUCUUCUAAUGAAAAUAUUGUUAAGGGAUAUUGCAUUUGUUUUUUUAAUAUAUUCCUUUCUUAACUAUGUCAUUUAAUUUUUAGGAAAAACUGAAGGACAAAAAGGCGGAGUACGAAGCGAUUGCUUCAAGUGAUAGUUCUGUUCAUAUCGACGGCAUUGAUAACCGGAUUAUCACUGAAGUUUUGGGUCCUGAAAGGUAUGGUCGGGUUCGAUGUCAACGAUCUUUUGUUAGCCCAUCCCAAUAUUUUGGAUCCAGCUCGCAACGAUACAUGCAUUCGGGGAGUCAGGCUCAAGCUGAAGUUCAAAGGUUAAGAGACCAGAUAGCUCAGAUGCAAGCGACAACAAGUGAACAAAUUACACAACUUAAAGCGGAGGCAACAUCGAGAGAAGCUGAGGUUCAAAAAAGAUAUGAAGAACUCCAGCUACAACUUAAAGCAGAUGCGGCAACGAGAGAAGCAGAGGCAGCAGCGAGAGAAGCUGAGGUUCAACGAAAGUAUGAAGAACUCCAGCGGCAGCUUAAAGCAGAUGCAGCAACGAGAGAAGCAGAGGCUGCAGUGAGGGAAUUAGAGGCUAAAACGAGGGAAGCAGAACAGCUUAAAAAGUUCGAUGAACUCCAACAGCAGCUUCAGAAUAUGAUGAAGAUGUUUCAGCAGUCGCAACCACCUUCGUCUUAGAUUAUCGUGUAAAUAUACUUCAAUUUGACUUUUACAAUUUUUGUAAGAAUAAUGUGAAUUUUAAUUUAUUUAUUGACAUUUAUUUUAAAUAUUAUAUAGAUGUAUUACUUUUGGCUGGAUUAGAUUUGGUUUAUUCUGAUUUUUUUUACAAGAGGGCUGAAAAUAUAAAAAAAAAAAUUCAAAUCUGCCAACAUUAGCGGCGUUUCCUGGAUAAGCGCCACUAAAAACACAGCCUAUUGUGGCGUUUUUUUUGCAUAAGCGCCGCGAAAGAUCCCCGUCUGUAGUGGCGUUUUUAGACUAAGCGCCGCAAAAGAACCCUAUCUAUCGUGGCGUUUCUUGCAUAAGCGCCGGAAAAGAACCUUAUCUAUCGUGGCGUUUCCUAUUGAAGCGCCGGAGAAGAACCCUAUCUAUAGUGGCGUUUCUUGUAUAAGCGCCGGAAAAGAACCCUCUCUCUAGUGGCGUUUGUUGUACAAGCGCCGCUAUAGAACCCAAGCUAUAGUGGCGUUUUUUUGUAUAAGCGCCGCUAUAGAUCACAUCUAUAGUGGCGUUUUGAGUAUAAUCGCCGGAAUAGACCCACCCUCUAUAGUUGCAUUUUUCGGAUAAGCGCCGCUAGAAAGGCCGAUCUAUAAUGGCGUUUUGUAUGUAAGCGCCGCUAAAGAGCCACAUCUAUAGUGGCGCGGCAAAAGAAACGCCGUAAUAGGUCUUCAUCUAUAGCGGCGUUUAUUAGAAGAAGCGCCGCUAUAGUUAGCGGCGCAGUCAUUAGCGGCAUUUUUUGCGGCGCUUAUAGAAGCGCCGCUAAAAGUAUUUGCGGCGCAAAGAAACGCCGCUAUAGCCCUAAAAAAGCGCCGCGAAAAGCCUGUUUUGCUGUAGUGAGUAAUACUAUUAUUAGUGAGGGAUAAAAGGCUGAUCUUAAGGUAUUUAACUGUAACCUUCUUAACUCGGCCCGUAUGUUAUGGCCGAAUUUUAAAGACUACAUUGGUCACUGAAAUAGCCUCAUAGAACCAAUUAGAUUUGAAAACGUUUUUUUACUAACUUUUAGAAAACUUAAUGCAACUGCCUUGGGAUUAUCAAAAUGCCAGAUUAUUAAGUCGAGUUAACUUAAGAGUCCAAUUUAAGAAGUGUUGUGACAUUUUGAGAUAAACUUAGUCGAUUUUUGUUUUGUUGAUUUGCCUUUUUAAAGUGAAACCAUCAGUCUUACCACUGUAUGUUUUUUAACAAAGAUUCAGGUCACCCAACUCUAACACAUAUAAAUAAAUUUUAUAAUUAUAAUUGUAAAAAUUUAUAUAACUUAUUAAUCAAAUAAAAAGUUAUAUAACAUAAUGAAAAUAAUUUUAAUUAAAUUUAUUUAAAAAUAUAAAAUUAAUUUAACAUUUUAUAAUUUUAUAAUACCACGUCAUUAGAACUAAUAUAUAUCCUCAAUAAAUUAAAAUUCACAUGUGAAAGAAGACAAUAUUAUAAACAAUUGAGCCAAUGUUUUUGGUUUCAAAAUCUUUUGUGGAAAAAUCCGCACUUCAAUGGUGAUGAGUAGCGAUUACAUACUACCUUUAAUUAAAGGAGGCAAAAGCUGAUCCGUGUAUUGAAUACUUUCCCAUUUGUUGCAACAUACUAAUACUAUAGAUAUAGAAAACAAAACGUGAUGAAUGAUGAAUGCUUUUCAACCUACUUUACUGGGAUUCCAUACUGUAUAUGUUUUUCUUUCUAUGCCAACAACAGUAGUCAAUGUGCCCUGCUUUAUUUGUGGACCUGCUGCUGUAUUUUCAUCUUAAAGUAAGAAUUAAGAGUUGUGUAAAAUGACUAACUUUACGUGUGGGGUUUUAUGAUGGGAAACCACUCAGAAACCUUCUUUCCAUAAUAAUCGGAAAACAUCCAAGCAAAGUGAUGAAUGCUUUUUCACUUGUUAGCCAACUUACAUUUUUUUUUUUAGCUUUUAGAGACAAACAAAACAUGAUUAACUGUUUGUUAGACUCGUCUGAUUAAACACGGUUUACGCCAUAUACCAUAUAUGAUAACAAAGAAAUUCUCCAAUUUGAUCCACUCUUGUGCUUUCUUUCUAUGUGAACAACAAUAGUUAAUAUAUUCAAUUUCAUGAAACUCCGAUAAAAUUACUGCAAAAGUUUAUCGAGAAUUAAAUUUUUUUAUAGCGAUUUUCAUACGGAAAAUUCUAAUUCAAGAGUUUGAGAAGUCAUUGCUGGGCUUUUGGCAGUUAAUAGGUUUUGAAUGAGCUUGUCUUAAGUUGAAAGAGAGGAGAAAUUGAGAUUUUUGGACUAAAUUGCAAAGUUGCUUCAUCUACCAUGGAUUAUUGGGCAAAACUAGUGAGAUAUUAAGGGUUCUAUUCCCGAUACAUGGAGAUAGUUCUUUCUUUCAUUUGGAUUAAGGGCUAAAUUACAAAUUUCUCCAAGAAUAGGAUCUUUCAAUAAACAAUCAACACAAGAAGGGAUUGAGCCACUUUAUUUAUUUUGGGAAAGCGAUGUGUACUCCAGUUCCAUCAGAUGACACAAAGCUAGAGGAAUACGACCAGUAAAACUAUUACUAGUGAGGGAUAGAAGGCUGAUGUUGUUCAAAAUUUAAUCUUGAAGGAUUCAACUAUAACCUUCCUAACUCGGUUCAGAUGUUAUGGUUUGGUUCCGUUGAACCAAUUAAAUUUGAAAACAUUCUUUUUAACUAACUUUUAGAAAGCUUAAUGUAACUGCCUUGGGAUUAUCAAAACGUCAUAUUAUUAAGUUAACUUAAGAGUCCAAUUUAAUAAGUGUUGUGACAUUUUGAGGUAAACUUAGUUGAUUUUUGUUUUGUUGAUUUACCUUUUUAUAAAUUUCCAAUUCCAUUAUUACGUAGUGGAAAAAGUGAAACCAUCAAUGUAUUUUCUUUAACAAAGAUUUGGGUUAUACAACUUUAACAAAUACAAAAAAAUUUAUAAUAAAAGAUAUAAAUAAAACUUAUAUAACUUAUUAAUCAAAUAAAAAGUUAUAUAUAUAUAUUUAUAUAUGUAGUCAAUUUUAUAAUAACUUAUUGAAAGUAUAUAUUAUUGGUAUGUUUCAUGUCUAUAUUACGAUCUAUGUUUGGAGUAUAUGACUACCUCUUCCAACAAUAUCGUCUUCAAGGUUUGAACACUACUCUCUCUUUCAAAUGUAAUAUACUUUACCACUACGCUCAACACUUAUUGAUAGCUUAUCAAAAAAUUUAUAUUUUUUUAUGAUGAAAACUAAUUUGAAAAUCCAUAAAACCAAUUAAUUUUCAUCAUAAAAAAUUAAAAUACAAUGUUAUUUAAAUCGAACUAUUUGGUUGAAUUAAAAAUAGGUCGAAAUUUCGAUUUAGAGGAAGGUAAAAAAAUCAGUUAACCUAUGAAUUGAACUAAAAAAAAGUUUAAUUGCUUGAAUUGUAUUUUAUAUUUAUCAAUAUUUUUAUUUUUAUAGUUUUUUAAUAAUUUAUUUAAUUUGCAGUUAACAUACUAAAAAUGGACGAUGUAAUUGAUUCGAUCACUUAUCCAUUCCAAGGUUAUGUAAUAUUCAACUUGAAUCGGAAGCUUUUUGAAAUUAUGUAUUAAGAUAUUCAGCUCCAAAUUGAUUUGAUUGGUUAGAGAGUUGUUGACAGAGCAGUAAUGGCGUCGGGGAAAAUGGCGAUAAAGGAUAUGUUGGAUUCUGUUAAUAUCUCGUGCUUUCUUUAUUUGUUCUCGCUCAAUAAAGGCUUACUAUUACUAUGAUGAGUUACUUACCUCUUCUUAUUUCAUCUUCAGAUAUCAGAAGAAGAAGAAGGUCCAGGAUGAAGAAGAGCAAAAGGAGGUCUUUUUUUAUUAACGAUUUCAUCGACAUAGCAAAAGGAAAAGAAAAACAUAUCCAGAACUUGUAUGAUAAAUACCUUCAAGCGAUCAAAUAACAUUGAGUGAAACAAGUAUGAAUUCUUGGGCAACCACAAGACUCCACCAGUGUGACAAACAGAGAAGCUAAAGGCUAUCAAUCUAAGAGAAAUUGUUUCAGGAGUGUUGGAAACUAGAAAGAUGAAUUUAAUGGAAAAGUUACACUGUUGGUUGUAACUGUCCUAGACGUUGAACAACUUGGAUUGGUCUCCCAUGAAUGGAUUAUGUCAUCUAUUUCAGAUUCUUCAUCACCAUGGGCUUCAAUAACAUUUCCACCAGAAGCGUUAAUCGACUCCAGCUCCAUUGCUACUUGUUUCAUGGUGGGUCUUUUCUUUCCAUUAAGAUUCAAGCAUCUUUUUGCUAGCAGAGCCACUACUAUAAUCUCCUUUUCUGGACCAUCCUUUACUACCAUUGGAUCGAGAAUGUUAAAUAAGGAAUUCUCCUGCAUUGACUGCAAAAAAUAAGAUACCAAGCUUCUCACUGACUCUGAUUGUUCCAGGGAGAUGGGUUUUUUUCCUGUUAAAAGCUCAAUAAGAACAACUCCAAAGCUAUAAACAUCACUCUUCUCUGUGAAUUGACUUGAUCGAAAAUAUUCUGGAUCCAUGUAUCCAAAAGUUCCUUGCACCCGAGUGGUUAGAUGUGUUUGUUCAAGUGCAACUGAUCUUGAAGUUCCAAAAUCUGACACUUUUGCCCUAUAUUUAUCAUCCAAAAGUAUGUUACUAGAUUUGAUGUCUCGAUGAUAAAUAGGAGCAGAAGCAGCUGAAUGCAAAUAGAACAAGGCAUUGGCAAUUUCAAUUGCAAUUCGUAAACGCAUUUUCCAUGUCAAUGGGAAUUCUUCAUUUUGGUUAUGAAUGAGAUCGUAUAAUGUACCAUUUGGGAUGAACUCAUACACCAAUAGAGGAGCUUCAGCCUCUAAACAACACCCUAAAAGCUUAACCACGUUCCUAUGAUUAAUUUGAGAUAAAAUUAUCACCUCGAUAAUGAACUGUUCAAC
rnacentral:lncRNA from 1 species